CCGAUCAUGGAGUUCACCUCCGCAGAUAUCUUUCAGCACUCACCUUUUGAAGAUGUGCUAAAUUCAUUAAGGUCUCUCUCCCUGUCAGGAGAACCUUGGCCGAACUAUGUCCGGCUAGAAUGGGAUGCGGACGACGAAGAAAUUCGCUGCCCACCCACCACCCACUUAGUAGCCACCGUCGAUGACUUAACCGACAUGCUCGACUUCGGCUCCGAUGACUUUGACGGUAUGGACGAGAAGCCGGAAACGAACAGGAUCCACGCCCUCGGGGCACUGGACCGCCACCUCAUCAUAUGAUAUAUACAUGGUGGACACCCCCAAAGAAGCCAAUGGCGACGAGACAACGAAGGAUGACCCCUCCAAGAAGCAACCCAAGCGCCGACGUCAGUGGCGCCGCUCUAAGUCCCGCCAUAGCAAGAGCAGUGAUGCCGGCACAGGAGAUAAUAACACUCCGGAUAGCGCCGAAGACAACAACAAUCCCCUCCAGCACGGUGCAGAGCUAGAGGACGAACAAGCUAGCCCUCCAGAGCAGGCAGCAGAUGGAGAACCGGAGGAGGACAAUUACAUGCCUCUCUCCGAAGACGAGGCGAGCCUUGGCGACGACGAGUUUAUCGUGCCGGAGGACCCCGUCGAGCAAGAGCGCUUCAAGCGCCGGCUUAUGGCCACGACAAAUAGCCUAAAGAAGAAACAACAACAACUUCAGGCUGAUCAAGACUUGCUAGCAGACAGGUGGACCGAAGUCCUUGCGGCCAAGGAGCAUGAACACGAGCGCCCGUCCAAGAGUUACCCAAAGCGCAGGUUACUACCUCACCUCGAGGAGGAAGCAUUGAAACCUCAUUCACCAGUGUACGAUGCGGCUGACCGGCCACUACGCGGCCUAGCCAAGGAGGCGUUUCAGCCUAAAGAUCAGACCGCACCCCGUCGCCACUCAGUCAAAAAUACUAAGGCCCGGGGCAACACAGAGGACCUGCGAGACAUCUUGGACAGUAAGGCAAAAAUCGCAAGGUCAAUAUACGGGACACGGGCACGUGCGCCCACACAGGACGAUGAUCGUCGCAUCGGAUACACCAAGAGUAAAUCUGGCCGGGCCGAAUACAGCAGACAAGACUCAUACGAACUACAUCGGGAUAUAGCCCGACACAGAGGUGCCGCACACCCCCUAUAAUUCACUGAUGAAGUUAUGAAUCACGAAUUCCCAGAGGGUUUCAAACCCUUAAAUAUCGAAUCAUACGAUGGCACAACAGAUCCCGCUGUAUGGAUUGAAGAUUUCCUCCUUCACAUCCACAUGGCUCGCGGUGAUGGUCUACAUGCCAUCAAGUACCUCCCACUAAAACUCAAAGGACCAGCCCGGCAUUGGCUGAAUAGCUUGCUAGUAGAUUCUGUUGGCAGUUGGGAGGAUCUGGAAGAUGCAUUUCUUGACAACUUCCAGGGCACUUGUGUGCGGCCGCCGGAUGCUGACGACUUGAGCCACAUAAUCCAGCAGCCAGGGGAAUCGGCCAGACAAUUCUGGACACGGUUCCUGACUAAGAAAAAUCAAAUUGUAGACUGUUCAGAUGCAGAGCCCCUAGUGGCAUUCAAGCAUAAUAUUCGCGACGAGUGGCUCGCCCGCCACCUCGGCCAGGAGAAGCCGGAAUCUAUGGCAGCCCUCACGACACUCAUGACCCGCUUUUGCGUGGGCGAGGAUAGCUGGCUGGCUCGCAGCAACAACACAUCGAGGAAUCCGGAUACCUCGGAUACCAAAGAUGCUAACGGUAGGCAGCGUCGUAAUAGACCAAAGCGCCGCAAUAACGGCGAUAACACCGAAGAUACGGCAGUUAAUGCCGGAUUCAGAGGCUCUAGAUCCAGUCAGCAGAAAAAGCCAUUUAAAAGAAAUACUCCGGCUCCGUCCAGUCUGGAUCGCAUACUGGAUCGCUCGUGUCAAAUCCACGGCACCCCCGACAAGCCAGCCGAUCACACCAACAGAGAAUGCAGGGUGUUCAAGCAGGCCGGCAAGUUAAAUGCUGAGAAUAAGGACAAGGGGCAGCACAGCGAUGAUGAGGAGGAGCCCCGACUGCCGAACACAGGAGGACAGAAAGGGGUUUCCCCGACAAGUGAAGAUGGUGAACAUGAUAUACACAACCCACAUUCCCAAGAGGGAGCAGAAGCGUGCACUAAGGGAUGUCUACGCGAUGGAGCCCGUCGCCCCAAAGUUCAACCCAUGGUCUGCCUGUCCGAUCACCUUCGAUCGCAGGGACCACCCCACUAGCAUCCGUCAGGGCGGAUCCGCCGCACUGGUCCUAGAUCCCAUCAUUGACGGAUUUCACCUCACUCGAGUCCUUAUGGAUGGUGGCAGCAGCCUGAACCUGCUUUAUCAGGAUAAAGUGCGAAAAAUGGGUAUCGAUCCCUCAAGAAUCAAACCCAGCAAAACCACCUUUAAAGGCGUCAUCCCAGGUGUAGAGGCCCAUUGCACAAGCUCAAUCACACUGGAAGUGGUUUUCGGAUCACCGGAUAACUUCUGAAGCGAAGAGUUAAUCUUCGACAUCGUCCCGUUUCGCAGUGGCUAUCAUGCACUGCUCGGAUGGAUAUCAUUUGCAAAAUUCAAUGCAGUGCCACAUUACGCAUACCUCAAGCUCAAGAUGCCAGGACCUCGCGGGGUUAUAACAGUAAAUGGAAACACAGAAUGCUCGCUCCAUAUGGAAGAGCACACUGCAGCCCUUGCAGCAGAGGCAGAAAGCAGCCUGUUUAGGCAGACCACUCAUUCAGUGUCACAGCCCCCGGACACCUUCAAGCGAGUCCGUAACAAGCUGCAACAGGAUCGCCUGGCAUGAUCAGAGCUCGCCUAGCAAUCCAGCCCCCGUCCCAGUCCCAGUGAAGCGACGAAAUCCGCGCCGCGUGUACAUAACUAUGCAUUGAAAAUACCAUGGACAUAGGCGGGGGCACAAUCAGGACACGCCCCACAUUGUGGCUUAACCACACUAGGGGCUGUACACGUGUGACAUUCCUUUUCUCUUUCAGGGCCUAACUCUUCGGAAGCCGUUUCCGGCAGUACGAUUGCCGGACACAUUCUGGAAGCAACAACCAAGGCGGCAAGAAGCUAAGAUGAACACGGGAACUGCCAGGUGGUCUCUAGUAAUACUUGAUAUACCCGUUUUUCACUAUUUAUGCAUAGCUUGCCCUGGGAUAGGACAUUUCGAAUUGUCCUACUUUAUGCUUAUUGCACUACUUGCACCAGUACGCUUCGACGUAUUAUUCAAAUAACAAUGCAUAUCAUUAAUCUGUCAUUGCAUUAUUUAAGUUUUUCUCUUUUCUCUUAUACGUCCAUUUACGACAAUCCGCACCCGCACGUUCUGUUGGGGAACGUAGUAAUUUCAAAAAAUUUCCUACGCACACGCAAGAUCAUGAUGAUGCAUAGCAAUGAGAGGGGAGAGUGUGAUCUACGUACCCAUGUAGAUCGACAACGGAAGCGUUUGGUUGAUGUAGUCAUACGUCUCCACGGCCCAACCGAUCAAGCACCGAAACUACGGCACCUCCGACUUCUAGCACACAUUCAACUCAAUGACGAUCCCCGGGCUCCGAUCCUAGCAAAGCGUCGGGGAGGAGUUCCGUCAGCACGAUGGCGUGGUGACGAUCUUGAUGUUGUACCGUUGUAGGGCUUCGCCUAAGCACCGCUACAAUAUGACCAAGGUGGAAUAUGGUGGAGGGGGGCACCGUACACGGCUAAGGAAUGAUCACAAUGAUCAACUUGUGUGUCUAGGGGUGCCCCUAUGCCCCCGUAUAUAAAGGAGCAAGGGGAGGAGGCCGGCCGGCCCCUAUAGGCACGCCAGGAGGAGUCCUCCUCCUAGUAGGAGUAGGACUCCUACUAGGAGGGGGAAAGAAGUGGGGAGGGAGAGGGAAAGGGGAGCGCCGCCCCCCCCCCUCUCCUAGUCCAAUUCGGACCUGGGGGGAGGNNNNNNNNNNNNNNNNNNNNNNNNNNNNNNNNNNNNNNNNNNNNNNNNNNNNNNNNNNNNNNNNNNNNNNNNNNNNNNNNNNNNNNNNNNNNNNNNNNNNNNNNNNNNNNNNNNNNNNNNNNNNNNNNNNNNNNNNNNNNNNNNNNNNNNNNNNNNNNNNNNNNNNNNNNNNNNNNNNNNNNNNNNNNNNNNNNNNNNNNNNNNNNNNNNNNNNNNNNNNNNNNNNNNNNNNNNNNNNNNNNNNNNNNNNNNNNNNNNNNNNNNNNNNNNNNNNNNNNNNNNNNNNNNNNNNNNNNNNNNNNNNNNNNNNNNNNNNNNNNGGUAACCCUCCGGCUCUCCGGUUUUCUCCGAAAUCACCCGGAACACUUCCGGUGUCCGAAUAUAGCCGUCCAAUAUAUCAAUCUUUAUGUCUCGACCAUUUCGAGACUCCUCGUCAUGUCUGUGAUCACAUCCGGGACUCCGAACUAACUUCGGUACAUCAAAACUCAUAAACUCAUAAUAUAACUGUCAUCGAAACCUUAAGCGUGCGGACCCUACGGGUUCGAGAACAAUGUAGACAUGACCGAGACACGUCUCCGGUCAAUAACCAAUAGAGGAACCUGGAUGCUCAUAUUGGCUCCUACAUAUUCUACGAAGAUCUUUAUCGGUCAGACCACAUAACAACAUACAUUAUUCCCUUUGUCAUCGGUAUGUUACUUGCCCGAGAUUCGAUCGUCGGUAUCUCAAUACCUAGUUCAAUCUCGUUACCGACAAGUCUCUUUACUCGUUCCGUAAUACAUCAUCUCGCGACUAACUCAUUAGUUGCAAUGCUUGCAAGGCUUAUGUGAUGUGCAUUACCGAGAGCGCCCAGAGAUACCUCUUCGACAAUCGGAGUGACAAAUCCUAAUCUCGAAAUACGCCAACCCAACAUGUACCUUUGGAGACACCUGUAGAGCACCUUUAUAAUCACCCAUUUACGUUGUGACGUUGGUAGCACACAAAGUGUUCCUCCGGCAAACGGGAGUUGCAUAAUCUCAUAGUCAUAGGAACAUGUAUAAGUCAUGAAGAAAGCAAUAGCAACAUACUAAACGAUCGGGUGCUAAGCUAAUGGAAUGGGUCAUGUCAAUCAGAUCAUUCACCUAAUCAAGUGAUCCCGUUAAUCAAAUAACAACUCUUUGUUCAUGGUUAGGAAACAUAACCAUCUUUGAUUAAUGAGCUAGUUAAGUAGAGGCAUACUAGUGACACUCUGUUUGUCUAUGUAUUCACAAAUGUAUUAUGUUUCCGGUUAAUACAAUUCUAGCAUGAAUAAUAAACAUUUAUCAUGAUAUAAGGAAAUAAAUAAUAACUUUAUUAUUGCCUCUAGGGCAUAUUUCCUUCAGUCUCCCACUUGCACUAGAGUCAAUAAUCUAGAUUACACAGUAAUGAUUCUAACACCCAUGGAGCUUUGGUGCUUAUCAUGUUUUGCUCAUGGAAGAGGCUUAGUCAACGGGUCUGCAACAUUCAGAUCCGUAUGUAUCUUGCAAAUCUCUAUGUCUCCCACCUGGACUAGAUCCCGGAUGGAAUUGAAGCGUCUCUUGAUGUUUUGGUUCUCUUGUGAAAUCUGGAUUCCUUUGCCAAGGAAAUUGCACCAGUAUUGUCACAAAAGAUUUUCAUUGGACCCGAUGCACUAGGUAUGACACCUAGAUCGGAUAUGAACUCCUUCAUCCAGACUCCUUCAUUUGCUGCUUCCGAAGCAGCUAUGUACUCCGCUUCACAUGUAGAUCCCGCUACGACGCUUUGUUUAGAAGUGCACCAACUGACAGCUCCACCGUUUAAUGUAAACACGUAUCCGGUUUGCGAUUUAGAAUCGUCCGGAUCAGUGUCAAAGCUUGCAUCAACGUAACCUUUUACGAUGAGCUCUUUGUCACCUCCAUAUAUGAGAAACAUAUCCUUAGUCCUUUUCAGGUAUUUCAGGAUGUUCUUGACCGCUGUCCAGUGAUCCACUCCUGGAUCACUUUGGUACCUCCCUGCUAGACUUAUGGAAAGGCACACAUUAGGUCUGGUACACAGCAUUGCAUACAUGAUAGAGCCUAUGGCUGAAGCAUAGGGAACAUCUUUCAUUUUCUCUCUAUCUUCUGCAGUGGUCGGGCAUUGAGUCUUACUCAAUUUCACACAUUGUAACAUAGGCAAGAACCCUUUCUUUGCUUGAUCCAUUUUGAACUUCUUCAAAACUUUGUCAAGGUAUGUGCUUUGUGAAAGUCCAAUUAAGCGUCUUGAUCUAUCUCUAUAGAUCUUAAUGCCUAAUAUGUAAGCAGCUUCACCGAGGUCUUUCAUUGAAAAACUCUUAUUCAAGUAUCCCUUUAUGCUAUCUAGAAAUUCUAUAUCAUUUCCAAUUAGUAAUAUGUCAUCCACAUAUAAUAUCAGAAAUGCUACAGAGCUCCCACUCACUUUCUUGUAAAUACAGGCUUCUCCAAAAGUCUGUAUAAAACCAAAUGCUUUGAUCACACUAUCAAAGCGUUUAUUCCAACUCCGAGAGGCUUGCACCAGUCCAUAAAUGGAUCGCUGGAGCUUGCACACUUUGUUAGUUCCCUUUGGAUCGACAAAACCUUCUGGUUGCAUCAUAUACAACUCUUCUUCCAGAAAUCCAUUCAGGAAUGCAGUUUUGACAUCCAUCUGCCAAAUUUUAUAAUCAUAAAAGGCGGCAAUUGCUAACAUGAUUUGGAUAGACUUAAGCAUCGCUACGGGUGAGAAGGUCUCAUCGUAGUCAAUCCCUUGAACUUGCCGAAAACCUUUUGCGACAAGUCGAGCUUUGUAGACAGUAAUAUUACCGUCAGCAUCAGUCUUCUUCUUGAAGAUCCAUUUAUUCUCAAUUGCUUGCCGAUCAUCGGGCAAGUCAACCAAAGUCCAUACUUUGUUCUCAUACAUGGAUCCCAUCUCAGAUUUCAUGGCUUCAAGCCAUUUUGCGGAAUCUGGGCUCAGCAUCGCUUCUUCAUAGUUCGCAGGUUCAUCAUGAUCUAGUAGCAUGACUUCUAGAACAGGAUUACCGUACCACUCUGGCGCGGAUCUCACUCUGGUUGAUCUACGAGGUUCAGUAGUAUCUUGUUCUGAAGUUUCAUGAUCAUCAUCAUUAGCUUCCUCACUAACUGGUGUAGGUGUCACUGAAACAGUUUUCUGUGAUGCACUACUUUCCAAUAAGGGAGCAGGUACAGUUACCUCGUCAAGUUCUACUUUCCUCCCACUCACUUCUUUCGAGAGAAACUCCUUCUCCAGAAAGUUUCCAAAUUUAGCAACAAAAGUCUUGCCUUUGGAUCUGUGAUAGAAGGUGUAUCCAAUAGUUUCCUUUGGACAUCCUAUGAAGACACAUUUCUCCGAUUUGGGUUCGAGCUUAUCAGGUUGAAGUUUUUUUACAUAAGCAUCGCAGCCCCAAACUUUCAGAAACAAUAACUUUGGUUUCUUGCCAAACCACAAUUCAUAAGGCGUCGUUUCAACGGAUUUUGAUGGUGCCCUAUUUAACGUGAAUGCGGCUGUCUCUAGAGCGUAUCCCCAAAACGAUAGCGGCAAAUCAGUAAGAGACAUCAUAGAUCGCACCAUAUCUAGUAAAGUACGAUUACGACAUUCGGACACACCAUUACACUGUGGUGUUCCGGGUGGCGUGAGUUGCGAAACUAUUCCACAGUUUUUCAAAUGUACACCAAACUCGUAACUCAAAUAUUCUCCUCCACGAUCAGAUCGUAGGAAUUUUAUUUUCUUGUUACGAUGAUUUUCCACUUCACUUUGAAAUUCUUUGAACUUUUCAAAUGUUUGAGACUUGUGUUUUAUUAAGUAGAUAUACCCAUAUCUGCUUAAGUCAUCUGUGAAGGUGAGAAAAUAACGAUAUCCGCCACGAGCCUCAAUAUUCAUCGGACCACAUACAUCUGUAUGUAUGAUUUCCAAAAAAUCUAUUGCUCUCUCCAUAGUACCGGAGAACGGUGUUUUAGUCAUCUUGCCCAUGAGGCACGGUUCGCAAGUACCAAGUGAUUCAUAAUCAAGUGGUUCCAAAAGUCCAUCAGUAUGGAGUUUCUUCAUGCGCUUUACACCGAUAUGACCUAAACGGCAGUGCCACAAAUAAGUUGCACUAUCAUUAUUAACUCUGCAUCUUUUGGCUUCAACACUAUGAAUAUGUGUGUCACUACUAUCGAGAUUCAUCAAAAAUAGACCACUCUUUAAGGGUGCAUGACCAUAAAAGAUAUUACUCAUAUAAAUAGAACAACCAUUAUUCUCAGAUUUAAAUGAAUAACCGUCUCGCAUCAAACAAGAUCCAGAUAUAAUGUUCAUGCUUAACGCUGGCACCAAAUAACAAUUAUUUAGGUCUAAUAUUAAUCCCGAAGGUAGAUGUAGAGGUAGCGUGCCGACUGCGAUCACAUCGACUUUGGAACUGUUUCCCACGCGCAUCGUCACCUCGUCCUUAGCCAAUCUUCGCUUAAUCCGUAGUCCCUAUUUCGAGUUGCAAAUAUUAGCAACAGAAACAGUAUCAAAUACCCAGGUGCUACUGCGAGCAUUAGUAAGGUACACAUCAAUAACAUGUAUAUCACAUAUACCUUUGUUCACCUUGCCAUCCUUCUUAUCCGCCAAAUACUUGGGGCAGUUCCGCUUCCAGUGACCAGUCUGCUUGCAGUAGAAGCACUCAGUUUCAGGCUUAGGUCCAGGUUUGGGUUUCUUCUCUUGAGUAGCAACUUGCUUGCCGUUCUUUUUGAAGUUCCCCUUCUUCUUCCCUUUGCCCUUUUUCUUGAAACUAGUGGUCUUGUUGACCAUCAACACUUGAUGCUCCUUCUUGAUUUCUACCUCCGCAGCUUUCAGCAUUGCGAAGAGCUCGGGAAUAGUCUUAUUCAUCCCUUGCAUAUUAUAGUUCAUCACAAAGCUCUUGUAGCUUGGUGGCAGUGAUUGGAGAAUUCUGUCGAUGACGCAAUCAUCUGGAAGAUUAACUCCCAAUUGAAUCAAGUGAUUAUUAUACCCAGACAUUUUGAGUAUAUGCUCACUGACAGAACUGUUCUCCUCCAUCUUGCAGCUGUAGAACUUAUUGGAGACUUCAUAUCUCUCAAUCCGAGCAUUUGCUUGAAAUAUUAACUUCAACUCCUGGAACAUCUCAUAUGCUCCAUGACGUUCAAAACGUGGUUGAAGUCCCGAUUCUAAGCCGUAAAGCAUGGCACACUGAACUAUCGAGUAGUCAUCAGCUUUGCUCUGCCAGACGUUCAUAACAUUUGGUGUCGCUCCAGCAGCAGGCCUGGCAUCCAGCGGUGCUUCCAGGACAUAAUUCUUCUGUGCAGCAUGAGGAUAAUCCUCAAGUUAUGGACCCAGUCCGUGUAAUUGGUACCAUCAUCUUUCAACUUUGCUUUCUCAAGGAACGCACUAAAAUUCAACGGAACAACAACACGAGCCAUCUAUCUACAAUCAAGCAUAAACAAGCAAGAUACUAUCAGGUACUAAGUUUCAUGAUAAAUUUAGGUUCAAUUAAUUUACUUAAAGAACUCCCACUUAGAUAGACAUCCCUCUAAUCCUCUAAGUGAUUACGUGAUCCAAAUCAACUAAACCAUGUCCGAUCAUCACGUGAGAUGGAGUAGUUUCAUUGGUGAACAUCACUAUGUUGAUCAUAUCUACUAUAUGAUUCAUGCUCGACCUUUCGGUCUCCGUGUUCCGAGGCCAUAUCUGUAUAUGCUUGGCUCGUCAAGUAUAACCUGAGUAUUCCGCGUGUGCAACUGUUUUGCACCCGUUGUAUUUGAACGUAGAGCCUAUCACACCCGAUCAUCAUGUCGUGUCUCAGCACGAAGAACUUUCGCAACGGUGCAUACUCAGGGAGAACACUUCUUGAUAAUUAGUGAGAGAUCAUCUUAUAAUGCUACCGUCAAUCAAAGCAAGAUAAGAUGCAUAAAAGAUAAACAUCACAUGCAAUCAAUAUAAGUGAUAUGAUAUGGCCAUCAUCAUCUUGUGCUUGUGUUCUCCAUCUUCGAAGCACCGUCGUGAUCACCAUCGUCACCGGCGCGACACCUUGAUCUCCAUCGUAGCAUCGUUGUCGUCUCGCCAAUCUUAUGCUUCCACGACUAUCGCUACCGCUUAGUGAUAAAGUAAAGCAUUACAGCGUGAUUGCAUUGCAUACAAUAAAGCGACAACCAUAUGUCUCCUGCCAGUUGCCGAUAACUCGGUUACAAAACAUGAUCAUCUCAUACAAUAAAAUUUAGCAUCAUGUCUUGACCAUAUCACAUCACAACAUGCCCUGCAAAAACAAGUUAGACGUCCUCUACUUUGUUGUUGCAAGUUUUACGUGGCUGCUACGGGCUUAAGCAAGAACCAAUCUUACCUACGCAUCAAAACCACAACGAUAGUUUGUCAAGUUGGUGCUGUUUUAACCUUCGCAAGGACCGGGCGUAGCCACACUCGGUUCAACUAAAGUUGGAGAAACUGUCACCCGCAAGCCACCUAUGUGCAAAGCACGUCGGGAGAACCGGUCUCGCGUAAGCGUACGCGUAAUGUCGGUCCGGCCGCUUCGUCCAACAAUACCACCGAACCAAAGUAUGACAUGCUGGUAAGCAGUAUGACUUAUAUCGCCCACAACUUACUUGUGUUCUACUCGUGCAUGUAACAUCAACAUAUAAAACCUAGGCUCGGAUGCCACCGUUGGGGAACGUAGUAAUUUCAAAAAAAAUCCUACGCACACGCAAGAUCAUGAUGAUGCAUAGCAACGAGAGGGGAGAGUGUGAUCUACGUACCCUUGUAGAUCGACAACGGAAGUGUUUGGUUGAUGUAGUCGUACGUCUCCACGGCCCAACCGAUCAAGCACCGAAACUACGGCACCUCCGAGUUCUAGCACACAUUCAGCUCGAUGAUGAUCCCCGGGCUCCAAUCCUAGCAAAGUGUCAGGAGGAGUUCCGUCAGCACGAUGGCAUGGUGACGAUCUUGAUGUUCUACUGUCGCAGGGCUUCGCCUAAGCACUGUUACAAUAUGACCGAGGUGGAAUAUGGUGGAGGGGGGCACCGCACACGGCUAAGGAACGAUCACGAUGAUCAACUUGUGUGUCUAGGGGUGCCCCUCUGCCCCCGUAUAUAAAGGAGCAAGGGGAGGAGGCCGGACGGCCCCUAUAGGCGCGCCAGGAGGAGUCCUCCUCCUAGUAGGAGUAGGACUCCUACUAGGAGGGGGAAAGAAGUGGGGAGGGAGAGGGAAAGGGGGGCGCUGCCCCCCCCCUCCUAGUCCAAUUCGGACCAGGGGGGAGGAGGCGCGCGGCCCACCUCUAGCAGCCCCUCUCUCUCUCCACUAAGGCCCAUAUGGCCCAUUACUUCUCCCGGGGGGGUUCCGGUAACCCUCCGGCUCUCCGGUUUUCUCCGAAAUCACCCGGAACACUUCCGGUGUUCGAAUAUAGCCGUCCAAUAUAUCAAUCUUUAUGUCUCGACCAUUUCGAGACUCCUCGUCAUGUCUGUCAUCACAUCCGGGACACCGAACUAACUUCGGUACAUCAAAACUCAUAAAAUCAUAAUAUAGCUGUCAUCGAAACCUUAAGCGUGCGGACCCUACGGGUUCGAGAACAAUGUAGACAUGACCGAGACACGUCUCCGGUCAAUAACCAAUAGCGGAACCUGGAUGCUCAUAUUGGCUCCUACAUAUUCUACGAAGAUCUUUAUCGGUCAGACUGCAUAACAACAUACGUUGUUCCCUUUGUCAUCGAUAUGUUACUUGCCCGAGAUUCGAUCGUCGGUAUCUCAAUACCUAGUUCAAUCUCGUUACCGGCAAGUCUCUUUACUCGUUUCGUAAUACAUCAUCUCGCAACUAACUCAUUAGUUGCAAUGCUUGCAAGGCUUAUGUGAUGUGCAUUACCGAGAGGGCCCAGAGAUACCUCUCCGACAAUCGGAGUGACAAAUCCUAAUCUCGAAAUACGCCAACCCAACAUGUACCUUUGGAGACACCUGUAGAGCACCUUUAUAAUCACCCAUUUACGUUGUGACGUUUGGUAGCACACAAAGUGUUCCUCCAGCAAACGGGAGUUGCAUAAUCUCAUAGUCAUAGGAACAUGUAUAAGUCAUGAAGAAAGCAACAGCAACAUACUAAACGAUCGGGUGCUAAGCUAAUGGAAUGGGUCAUGUCAAUCAGAUCAUUCACCUAAUGAUGUGAUCCCGUUAAUCAAAUAACAACUCUUUGGUCAUGGUUAGGAAACAUAACCAUCUUUGAUUAACGAGCUAGUCAAGUAGAGGCAUACUAGUGGCACUCUGUUUGUCUAUGUAUUCACACAUGUAUUAUGUUUCCGGUUAAUACAAUUCUAGCAUGAAUAAUAAACAUUUAUCAUGAUAUAAGGAAAUAAAUAAUAACUUUAUUAUUGCCUCUAGGGCAUAUUUCCUUCACGUUCGGGUACGGUCAGUACGCUAGGGGCUCUCGUUUACCCCACAAUACGGCGCAGGAAGUUCGAACACUUUCGACAGUGCGGCACCCCGAACUUAUACCAUUAUAUGCAUCAGCUCCGAAUCAUGUCUUUGAUCAAAUGUUGGGUCACCUGGCUCCCAUGCUUUGGUACCUUACGUUCCGCUAUAUUGGCUAAGGUAGCGGUGGGAGAACUACUGCGAUUGUGUCCCGAUUCUUCCGGAUGAGCACCUUAGUACAGAAAGCCAAAAACUGACUGUCAUGAUAAGGCGAGAGACUGGUCACUGUUCGAGAGGUCUCAAGUCCUUAAAGACUUUUUCCGCUUCGGGCGAGGAGUCGGCCUUGUCCGGCUUAGGCGUGUAUAGCGCCCCAAAUUCGACCCUCCGAAUACCAGGGGCUUCACCAAAAAUUUAAAAUUAUAGACUUCUAUGGCUAAGUGAGAGUGAUAAAGCAUUAUAGUCCGAUUGCCUGGUUUGUUGCGCUGAACACCUCCCUUGAAGGACCCAAAAUUGGGGUAAAGAGUGUUCAGAUUUACCCCGAACACCCCAGUACUAGUUACAUGGGGGUAGAAGCCGACAAUUGGCCAAUUCUCAGAUUUUAUAAAAACGGCCGCACAGAAGGUAAUAUUUUAAAUUAAGAAAGUGUCGCAUGGUGCAAAAGAACUCGUUUCAUAUUACAGGAUCACAUGGGCAUGUUCAUUCAAAAAUUACAUCCUUGGCACACUCAUCCGCCACUAAGCGGGAACCCUUCAGGACGCUCUCAUAGUAAUUCUCGGGGCAGCGAUGCUCCUUGCCCUCUGGCGGCCCCUCCUUCACCAGCUUCACGGCGUCCAACUUCGCCCAGUGCACCUUCGCCCGGGCAAAAGCCCUGCGUGCACCUUCUAUGCAGACAGACCGCUUGAUGACUUCAAGCCAUGGGAAGGCUUCCACAAGCCGCCUCACCAGACCGAAGUAGCUGCCGGAUAGGGGCUCGCCUGGCCACAUCCGGACUAUAAAGUGUUGGGAUUUCGUAGUAAUUUCAAAAAAUUUCCUAUGCACACGCAAGAUCAUGUGAUGCAUAGCAACGAGAGGGAGAGUAUUGUCUACGUACCCAACGCAGACCGACUGCGGAAGCGAUGACACGACGUAGAGGAAGUAGUCGUACGUCUUCACGAUCUAACCGAUCAAGCACCGAAACUACGGCACCUCCGAGUUCGAGCACACGUUCAGCUCGAUGACGAUCCCCGGACUCCGAUCCAGCAAAGUGUCGGGGAAGAGUUCCGUCAGCACGACGGCGUGGUGACGAUCUUGAUGAACUACAGCAGCAGGGCUUCGCCUAAACUCCGCUACAGUAUUAUCGAGGAAUAUGGUGGCAGGGGACACCGCACACGGCUAAGGAACAUAUCACGUGGAUCAACUUGUGUGUUUUGGGGUGCCUCUACCUCAGUAUAUAAAGGAGCCAAGGGGGGGAGGAGGCGCCGGCCAGGAGAGGUGGCGCAGGAGGAGUCCUACUCCUACCGGGAGUAGGACUCCCCUCCAAUCCUAUUCCAACUAGGAAUCCCCAAAGGGGGAAAGAGGAGAAGGGUGGCCGGCCACCUCUCCUAGUCCUAAUAGGACUAGGGGAAGGGGGGAGGCGCGCAGCCCUGAUGGGCAGCCCUUUCACCUUUCCACUAAGGCCCAUGAAGGCCCAUAUGGCUCCCGGGGGGUUCCGGUAACCUCCCGGUAACCCGGUAAAAUCCUGAUUUCACCCGGAACACUUCCGAUGUCCAAACAUAGGCUUCCAAUAUAUCAAUCUUUAUGUCUCGACCAUUUCGAGACUCCUCGUCAUGUCCGUGAUCACAUCCGGGACUCCGAACAACCUUCGGUACAUCAAAAUGCAUAAACUCAUAAUAUAACUGUCAUCGUAACCUUAAGCGUGCGGACCCUACGGGUUCGAGAACAAUGUAGACAUGACCGAGACACGUCUCCGGUCAAUAACCAAUAGCGGGACCUGGAUGCCCAUAUUGGCUCCUACAUAUUCUACGAAGAUCUUUAUCGGUCAGACCGCAUAACGACAUACGUUGUUCCCUUUGUCAUCGGUAUGUUACUUGCCCGAGAUUCGAUCGUCGGUAUCCAAUACCUAGUUCAAUCUCGUUACCGGCAAGUCUCUUUACUCGUUCCGUAAUACAUCAUCUCACAACUAACAUAUUAGUUGUAAUGCUUGCAAGGCUUAUGUGAUGUGUAUUACCGAGAGGGCCCAGAGAUACCUCUCCGACAAUCGGAGUGACAAAUCCUAAUCUCGAAAUACGCCAACCCAACAUCGACCAUUGGAGACACCUGUAGUACUCCUUUAUAAUCACCCAGUUACGUUGUGACGUUUGGUAGUACCCAAAGUGUUCCUCUGGUAAACGGGAGUUGCAUAAUCUCAUAGUCAUAGGAACAUGUAUAAGUCAUGAAGAAAGCAAUAGCAACAUACUAAACGAUCGGGUGCUAAGCUAAUGGAAUGGGUCAUGUCAAUCAGAUCAUUCAACUAAUGAUGUGACCUCGUUAAUCAAAUAACAACUCAUUGUUCAUGGUCAGGAAACAUAACCAUCUUUGAUUAACGAGCUAGUCAAGUAGAGGCAUACUAGUGACACUUUGUUUGUCUAUGUAUUCACACAUGUAUUAUGUUUCCGGUUAAUACAAUUCUAGCAUGAAUAAUAAACAUUUAUCAUGAAAUAAGGAAAUAAAUAAUAACUUUAUUAUUGCCUCUAGGGCAUAUUUCCUUCAGUCUCCCACUUGCACUAGAGUCAAUAAUCUAGUUCACAUCGUCAUGUGAUUUAACACUAAUAUUCAUAUCUGUAUAUGAUUAACACCCAUAGUUCACAUCAUCAUGUGACCAACACCCAAAGGGUUUACUAGAGUCAAUAAUCUAGUUCACAUCGCUAUGUGAUUAACAUCCAAAGAGUACUAAGGUGUGAUCAUGUUUUGCUCGUGAGAGAAGCUUAGUCAACGGGUCUGUCACAUUCAGAGCCGUAUGUAUUUUGCAAAUAUUCUAUGUCUACAAUGCUCUGUACGGAGCUACUCUAGCUAAUCGCUCCCACUUUCAAUAUGUAUCCAGAUUGAGACUUAGAGUCAUCUGGAUCAGUGUAAAAGUUUGCACUGAUGUAACUUUUACAACAAACUCUUUUAUCACCUCCAUAAUCGAGAAACAUCUCCUUAGUCCUUACUAAGGAUAUUCUUGACCAAUGUCCAGUGAUCUACUCCUAGAUCACUAUUGUACUCCCUUGCCAAAUAUAGAGCAAGGUAUACAAUAGGUCUGGUACAAAGCAUAGCAUACUUUAUAGAACCUAUGACUGAGGCAUAGGGAAUGACUUUUCAUUCUCUUUCUAUUUUCUGCUGUGGUCGGGAUUUGAGUCUUACUCAAUUUCAUACCUUUGCAACAUAGGCAAGAACUCUUUCUUUAACUGUUCCAUUUUGAACUAUUUCAAAAUCUAGCCAAGGUAUGUACUCAUUGAAAAUCUUAUCAAGCGUCUUGAUCUAUCUCAAUAGAUCUUGAUGUUCAAUAUAUAAGUAGCUUUUUACUGAGGUCUUUCUUUGAAAAACUCCUUUCAAACACUCCUUUAUGCUUUGCAGAAUAAUUCUACAUUAUUUCUGAUCAACAAUAUGUCAUUCACAUAUACUUAUCAGAAAUGUUGUAGUGCUCCCACUCACUCUCUUGUAAAUACAGGCUUCACCGCAAGUCUGUAUAAAACCAUAUGCUUUGAUCAACUCAUCAAAGCGUAUAUUCCAACUCCGAGAUGCUUGCACCAGUCCACAGAUGGAUCGCUGGAGCUUGCAUAUUUUGUUAGCACCUUUAGGAUUGACAAAACAUGCUGGUUGUAUCAUAUACAACUCUUCUUUAAUAAAUCCAUUAAGGAAUGCAGUUUUGUUUAUCCAUUUGCCGGAUUUCAUAAAAUGCGGCAAUUGCUAACAUGAUUCUGACAGACUUUAAGCAUAGAUACGAGUGAGAAACUCUCAUCGUAGUCAACACCUUGAACUUGCUGAAAAAACUUUCGCAACAAGUCGAGCUUUGUAGACAGUAACAUUACCAUCAGCGUCAGUCUUCUUCUUAAAGAUCCAUUUAUUCUCAAUUGCUUGCCGAUCAUCGGGCAAGUCAACCAAAGUCCAUACUUUGUUCCCAUAUAUGGAUCCCAUCUCAGAUUUCAUGGUUUCAAGCCACUUUGCGGAAUCUGGGCUCACCAUCGCUUCUUCAUAGUUCGUAGGUUCAUCAUGAUCUAGUAGCAUGACUUCCAGAAUAGGAUUACCGUACCACUCUGGCGCGAAUCUUACUCUGGUUGAUCUACGAGGUUCAGUAGUAUCUUGAUCUGAAGUUUCAUGAUCCUUAUCAUUGGCUUCCUCACUAACUGGUGUAGGUGUCACUGAAACAGUUUUCUGUGAUGAACCACUUUCCAGUAAGGGAGCAGGUACAGUUACCUCGUCAAGUUUCACUUUCCUCCCACUCACUUCUUUCGAGAGAAACUCCUUCUCUAGAAAUGAUCCAUUCUUAGCAACGAAUGUUUUGCCUUCGGAUCUGUGAUAGAAGGUGUACCCAACAGUUUCCUUUGGGUAUCCUAUGAAGACACAUUUCUCCGAUUUGGGUUCGAGCUUAUCAGGUUGAAGCUUUUUCACAUAAGCAUCGCAGCCCCAAACUUUAAGAAACGACAACUUGGGUUUCUUGCUAAACCACAGUUCAUAGUGUCGUCUCAACGGAUUUAGAUGGUGCCCUUUUAACGUGAAUGCAGCUGUCUCUAAUGCAUAACCCCAAAACGACAAUGGUGAAUCAAUAAGAUACAUCAUAGAUUGCACCAUAUCUAGUAAAGUACGAUUACGACGUUCGGACACACCAUUACGCUGUGGUGUUCCGGGUGGCGUGAGUUGUGAAACUAUUCCACAGUUUUUCAAAUGUACACCAAACUCGUAACUCAAAUAUUCUCCUCCACGAUCAGAUCGUAGAAACUUUAUUUUCUUGUUACGAUGAUUUUCAACUUCACUCUGAAAUUCUUUGAACUUUUCAAAUGUUUCAGACUUAUGCUUCAUUAAGUAGAUAUACUCAUAUCUGCUCAAAUUAUCUGUGAAGAUCAGAAAAUAAUGAUACUUGCCACGAGCAUCAACACUCAUUGGAUUGCAUACAUCGGUAUGUAUUAUUUCCAAUAAGUCAGUAGCACGUUCCAUUGUUCUGGAGAACGGAGUUUUAGUCAUCUUGCCCAAAAAGCACGGUUCGCAAGCAUCAAAUGAUUCAUAACCAAGUGAUUCUGAAAAUCCAUCUUUAUGGAGUAUCUUCAUGCGCUUUACACCGAUAUGAGCCAAACGGCAGUGCCACAAAUAAGUUGCACUAUCAUUAUUAACUUUGCAUCUUUUGGUUUCAAUAUUAUGAAUAUGUGUAUCACUACGAUCUAGAUCCAAUGAACCAUUUUCAUUGGGUGUGUAACCAUAUAAGGUUUUAUUCAUGUAAACAGAACAACAUUUUAUUCUCUUACUUAAAUGAAUAACCGUAUUGCAAUAAACAUGAUCAAAUCAUAUUCAUGUUCAACGCCAACACCAAAUAACACUUAUUUAGUUUCAACACUAAUCCCGAAAGUAUAGGGAGUGUGCGAUGAUCAUAUCAAUCUUGGAACUACUUCCAACACUCAUCGUCACUUCCUCUUCAACUAGUCUUUGUUUAUUCUGCAACUCCCGUUUCGAGUUACUAAUCUUAGCAACUGAAUUAGUACCAAAUACUAAGGGGUUGCUAUAAACACUAGUAAAGUACACAUCAAUAACAUGUAUAUCAAAUAUACUUAUGUUCACUUUGCCAUCCUUCUUAUCCGCCAAUCACUUGGGGUGAUUCCGUUUCCGGUGACCAGUCCCUUUGCAGUAGAAGCACUUAGUCUCAGGCUUAGGACCAGACUUGGGCUUCUUCACUUGAGCAGCAACUUGCUUGCCGUUCUUCUUGAAGUUCCCCUUCUUCCCUUUGCCCUUUUCUUGAAACUAGUGGUCUUAUCAACCAUCAACACUUGAUGUUUUUCUUGAUUUCUAUCUUCAUUGAUUUCAUCAUCACGAAGAGCUUGGGAGUUGUUUCCGUUAUCCCUUGCAUAUUAUAGUUCAUCACGAAGUUCUACUAACUUGGUGAUGGUGACUAUAGAAUUCUGUCAAUCACUAUCUUAUCUGGAAGAUUAACUCCCACUUGAUUCAAGCGAUUGUAGUACCCAGACAAUCUGAGCACAUGCUCACUAGUUGAGCGAUUCUCCUCCAUCUUUUAGCUAUAGAAUUUGUUGGAGACUUCAUAUCUCUCAACUUGGGUAUUUGCUUGAAAUACUAACUUCAAAUACUGGAACAUCUCAUAUGGUCCAUGAUGUUCAAAACAUCUUUGAAGUCCCGAUUCUAAGCCAUAAAGCAUGGUGCACAUAACUAUCAAGUAGUCAUCAUAUUAAGCUAGCCAAACGUUCAUAACGUUUGCAUCUGCUCCUGCAAUAGGUCUGUCACCUAGCGGUGCAUUAAGGACAUAAUUCUUCUGUGCAGCAAUGAGGAUAAACCUCAGAUCGCGGAUCAAAUCCGCAUCAUUGCUACUAAUAUUUUUCAACACAAUUUUCUCUAGGAACAUAUCAAAAUAAACAUAUGAAAGCAACAACGCGAGCUAUUGAUCUACAACAUAGAUAUGCUAAUACUACCAGGACUAAGUUCAUGAUAAAUUAAAGUUCAAUUAAUCAUAUUACUUAAGAACUCCCACUUAGAUAGAUAUCCCUCUAAUCCUCUAAGUGAUCACGUGAUCCAAAUCAACUAAACCAUGUCCGAUCAUCACGUGAGAUGGAGUAGUUUCAAUGGUGAACAUCACUAUGUUGAUCAUAUCUACUAUAUGAUUCACGCUCGACCUUUCGGUCUCCGUGUUCCGAGGCCAUAUCUGCAUAUGCUAGGCUCGUCAAGUUUAACCUGAGUAUUCUACGUGUGCAAAACUGGCUUGCACCCGUUGUAGAUGGACGUAGAGCUUAUCACACCCGAUCAUCACGUGGUGUCUGGGCACGACGAACUUUGGCAACGGUGCAUACUCAGGGAGAACACUUCUUGAUAAUUUAGUGAGAGAUCAUCUUAUAAUGCUACCGUCAAUCAAAGCAAGAUAAGAUGCAUAAAAAGAUAAACAUCACAUGCAAUCAAUAUAAGUGAUAUGAUAUGGCCAUCAUCAUCUUGUGCUUGUGAUCUCCAUCUCCGAAGCACCGUCAUGAUCACCAUCGUCACCGGCGCGACACCUUGAUCUCCAUCGUAGCAUCGUUGUCGUCUCGCCAAUCUUAUGCUUCCACGACUAUCACUACCGUUUAGUAAUAAAGUAAAGCAUUACAUCGCGAUUGCAUUGCAUACAAUAAAGCGACAACCAUAUGGCUCCUGCCAGUUGCCGAUAACUCGGUUACAAAACAUGAUCAUCUCAUACAAUAAAAUUCAGCAUCAUGCCUUGACCAUAUCACAUCACAACAUGCCCUGCAAAAACAAGUUAUACGUCCUCUACUUUGUUGUUGCAUGUUUUACGUGGCUGCUACGGGCUUAAGUAAGAACCAAUCUCACCUACGCAUCAAAACCACAACGAUAGUUUGUCAAAUAGACUUCGUUUUAACCUUCGCAAGGACCGGGCGUAGCCAUACUUGGUUCAACUAAAGUUGGAGAGGCAGUCGCCCACAAGCCAUCUCUGUGCAAAGCACGUCGAGGGAACCGGUCUCGCGUAAGCGUACGCGUAAGGUUGGUCCGGGUCGUCUCGUCCAACAAUACCGCCGAACCAAAGUGUGACAUGCUGGUAGGCAGUAUGACUUGUAUCGUCCACAACUCACUUGUGUUCUACUCGUGCAUAUAACAUCAACAUAAAUAACCUGGCUCGGAUGCCACUGUUGGGAUUUCGUAGUAAUUUCAAAAAUUUUCCUAUGCACAUGCAAGAUCAUGUGAUACAUAGCAACGAGAGGGAGAGUAUUGUCUACGUACCCAACGUAGACCGACUGCGGAAGCGAUGACACGACGUAGAGGAAGUAGUCGUACGUCUUCACGAUCCAACCGAUCAAGCACCGAAACUACGGCACCUCCGAGUUCGAGCACACGUUCAGCUCGAUGACGAUCCCCGGACUCCGAUCCAGCAAAGUGUCGGGGAAGAGUUCCGUCAGCACGACGGCGUGGUGACGAUCUUGAUGAACUACAGCAGCAGGGCUUCGCCUAAACUCCGCUACAGUAUUAUCGAGGAAUAUGGUGGCAGGGGACACCGCACACGGCUAAGGAACAUAUCACGUGGAUCAACUUGUGUGUUUUGGGGUGCCUCUACCUCAGUAUAUAAAGGAGCCAAGGGGGGGAGGAGGCGCCGGCCAGGAGAGGUGGCGCAGGAGGAGUCCUACUCCUACCGGGAGUAGGACUCCCCUCCAAUCCUAUUCCAACUAGGAAUCCCCAAAGGGGGAAAGAGGAGAAGGGUGGCCGGCCACCUCUCCUAGUACUAAUAGGACUAGGGGAAGGGGGGAGGCGCGCAGCCCUGAUGGGCAGCCCUUUCACCUUUCCACUAAGGCCCAUGAAGGCCCAUAUGGCUCCCGGGGGGUUCCGGUAACCUCCCGGUAACCCGGUAAAAUCCCGAUUUCACCCGGAACACUUCCGAUGUCCAAACAUAGGCUUCCAAUAUAUCAAUCUUUAUGUCUCGACCAUUUCGAGACUCCUCGUCAUGUCCGUGAUCACAUCCGGGACUCCGAACAACCUUCGGUACAUCAAAAUGCAUAAACUCAUAAUAUAACUGUCAUCGUAACCUUAAGCGUGCGGACCCUACGGGUUCGAGAACAAUGUAGACAUGACCGAGACACGUCUCCGGUCAAUAACCAAUAGCGGGACCUGGAUGCCCAUAUUGGCUCCUACAUAUUCUACGAAGAUCUUUAUCGGUCAGACCGCAUAACGACAUACGUUGUUCCCUUUGUCAUCGGUAUGUUACUUGCCCGAGAUUUGAUCGUCGGUAUCCAAUACCUAGUUCAAUCUCGUUACCAGCAAGUCUCUUUACUCGUUUCGUAAUACAUCAUCUCACAACUAACAUAUUAGUUGUAAUGCUUGCAAGGCUUAUGUGAUGUGUAUUACCGAGAGGGCCCAGAGAUACCUCUCCGACAAUCGGAGUGACAAAUCCUAAUCUCGAAAUACGCCAACCCAACAUCGACCAUUGGAGACACCUGUAGUACUCCUUUAUAAUCACCCAGUUACGUUGUGACGUUUGGUAGUACCCAAAGUGUUCCUCCGGUAAACGGGAGUUGCAUAAUCUCAUAGUCAUAGGAACAUGUAUAAGUCAUGAAGAAAGCAAUAGCAACAUACUAAACGAUCGGGUGCUAAGCUAAUGGAAUGGGUCAUGUCAAUCAGAUCAUUCUACUAAUGAUGUGACCUCGUUAAUCAAAUAACAACUCAUUGUUCAUGGUUAGGAAACAUAACCAUCUUUGAUUAACGAGCUAGUCAAGUAGAGGCAUACUAGUGACACUUUGUUUGUCUAUGUAUUCACACAUGUAUUAUGUUUCCGGUAAAUACAAUUCUAGCAUGAAUAAUAAACAUUUAUCAUGAUUAUAAGGAAAUAAAUAAUAACUUUAUUAUUGCCUCUAGGGCAUAUUUCCUUCAUAAGGCCCCUCAUGGCCUGUUCAGCCGCCUUGUGAAGUUUGACCAACUGCUUCAGCUGGUCGCUCAAGGACACGGGGUGUUCAGUCCUAGUAUACUGAGACCAUAACAACUUCUCCGAUGAGCUCCCUUCCUUAGCCCGGUAAAACUCCGCGGCAUCCAGUACACUGCGGGGAAUAUCUGCAAACGCUCCUGGAGAGCUCCGAACUCGGGUAAGAAAAAGGAAAGUCUCCUUCACAUGCUUGCUUUGCAUAUUGAAUGCCUUACCCGCUGCUAUCUUCUUCGCCGCGUCAAUCUCCUGGAGGGACUUGUGGGCUUCGGCCUUGGCGCUCCGGACGCUUUCAAGUGCCUGCGCGAGCUCGGACUCUCGCGUCUUGGAGUCAAGCUCCAAGGACUCGUGCUUUCUAGCGAGAGCCUCGAGCUCUUGCUGCACCUCGCCUACUCGGGCUUCUUGUUCUCCCGUUCCAGGCGUUCUUUGGCCGCUUUGUCUUCGGCCUCGGACACCGCCUUCCUCAGGGUCUCCACCUCGGUCAUGGCCCCUGACAAAUUCAUGAUGAUCCUAUUACUUUACACCCGAACUUCUUUUUAACUAUAUAGACGGGGGUAUAUCUUACCUUUGCUCUCUUCGAGAUGCCCCUUGGUGAGGCUGAGCUCGUCCUCGGGCCGCUUCAGGACCUGCUUCAAUGCAGAGACCUCCGCAGUACGUGCGGCAGCGGCCAGCAGUGAAGCCUGCACGUACACAUAGACAUACUCUAAUUAGACUCCUGAGUUAUCAUUUGAUCCUCUAUUCGGCUUUUCUUCACGAACACCGAACAGAGCAUCAGGGGCUACUAUCUAUGCGGUAAUAUUUUCUUAUAUUUUGAAUGCUUACCUCAAAGCCUGGUAGGAGGCUGGCGCAAGCUUCAGUCAGUCCGUUUUUGGUGGACUGAACCUUCUCGACCACCGCACUCAUGAUAGUGCGGUGCUCUUCUGCGAUGGAAGCGCUGCGAAGCGCUUCCAGCAGGGUGUCCGGUGCCUCUGGUUGGACAGAGGACACCGGCACGGAUGGUUGGCCCCCCUUAAUGGGGGACCUCCUGCCGGAGUCCAGAACCAUCGAAGGUUCCGGCGUAGUGUCCGGCUGGGGCCUGAACUCGAAGCCUGUAGGAGCCUCGCUCCCUUGGCACCCAAGGUCCAGGAGGUCACCGUGAGGCGCACCCAGGAUCACCUCCCCUUGGCUCGGUGCCUUUUGAGACAACACCUCGGCGUUGUCCGUAGGGCGAGGGGUGGAAGCCGUCGGAGGAGAACCGUUGUUCAUAUCCGACGAGUCCAAAGAGCCGCUCGACGAGGGUAUGUCGAGAUGAGAUCGGGACGGACUGCAUAAUCAUGUUUGGCAUGAGGAAAGGCAGUACAAUAAAACAUACCAUGAAGCACUAUAGUGUCCGGACACUUACGACUUCGCCAGGGGCUUGUCCCUAAGUAGCCACUCGUCGCCGCUGUCGACGGCCGUCGUGGCACAGUCUGGAGGGAGGGUCUUUCCCUUCUUGGACCCUUGGCCUCCCCGGAUGGGUUGGCCUUCCUUUUCUUGUCUCCCCUGGCUGGGAGGGGGGAUAGCUUUUCUCCUCCUCCUCCUCGUUUCCGUGGGAGGAGGGCGCGUCGGAGUCAUCGGAUGAUGAGCCCGAUGUAACCUUGCGCCGGAGACCCUUUCGGGUCCCUGUGGCCUUCUUAUUGGCCUUCUUUUCCGGCACCUCGUAAGGUGCCGGAGUCAGCAUCUUCAUUAGAAGAGCAUCUGCAGGACCUUCGGGCAGGGGGGCUGGGCAAUCAAGCUGCUCCGUUGUCUCUAUCCAGUCCUGUUAAUAACAUGAAAGCUUAGAUCCAGCACAUAACUAAACCAGGGCGAAUAAAUACCCUGAGAGAUAUAAAAGCCUACGAGAUGGGCGCGACGCUUUGCGCUGAGUCCGCGGUCCUCGGUAAGGGAGGGAGGCAUCUCGGCGCCCUUGAACAGCACCCUCCAGACAUCCUCGUGCAUCGUGUCAUAGAGCUCUCGCAGCGUCUGGUGCUUGGCCGAGUCAAACUCCCACAAAACAAAUGCCCGUCGUUGGCAUGGAAGGAUUCGGCGGAAGAGCAUAACCUGGACCACGUUGAUGAGCUUGAUUUUCUUGUUCGUCAUGUUCUGGAUGCAGGUCUGGAGUCUGGUCAGCUCUACCGCGGAACCCCAGGACAUGUCCUUCUCUUUCCAGGAGGUGAGCCGCGUGGGGAUUCCAGAUCGAAAUUUGAGGGCCGCCACCCAGUUCGAGUCACGUGGCUCGGUGAUGUAGAACCACCCUGAUUUCCACCCCUUUAUGGUAUCCACGUAGGUGCCCUCGAGCCAGGUGACAUUAGGCAUCUUGCCCACCAUGGCGCCUCCGUACUCUGCUUGCUGGCCACCCACCACCUUCGGUUUGACAUUGAAGGUUUCCAGCCAUAGGACAAAGUGGGGCCUGAUGCGGAGGAAGGCCUCGCACACGACGAUAAACGCCGAGAUGUUGAGGAUCAAAUUGGGGGCCAGAUCAUGAAAAUCCAGCCCGUAGUAGAACAUGAGACCGUGGACAAAUGGGUGGAGAGGAAAUCCCAGUCCACGGACGAAAUGGGUAAGAAAAACUACCCUCUCAUGGGGUUCGGGCGUGGGGACGAUCUGCCCCGCAUUUGGCAGCCGGUGCGCGAUAUCCACGGCCAAGUAUCCGGCUUCCCGUAACUUUUUGAUAUUCUCCUCCGUGACGGAGGAGACCAUCCACUUGCCUCCUGCUCCGGACAUGAUUGAAGUGGUUCGAUAAGAAGAACGCGAGCUUGGGCGCUAGAGCUCAAGUGUGCGGGAAUGGGUAAGCGAGAAGGAAGAAGGCGUGGGUGAAAAAAGUAAAUCUUUAUCCCUUUAUAAGGGCGGAGGAGGCGAUGAGUCUCCCCACUUGCUUGGCAAAAACUGCUUAUUCCCCAGGUGCCGUAAUUGAUGGGGCGGUUGGGUUACCCACGCCCGUAUUGAUGAGAAUCCCGUGAUAAGGGGAACACGAUCUCUGCUUUGACAAGACGUAUCGAGAGAACCGCCUCGCGAUAUGUGCGGAGCUGGUUGAGAAAAGCGGUUCAAAUAAUAACCAGGCCAUGGUGUGAUGUCAUGCUGUCAAAACGUGUCAGCGGAUUAGAUUUGUGGAAAUAUUAUUCUCUCUACGGUGGUAUGUGGAACUUAUUUUGCAGGGUCGGACACUAUCCUCACAUUCAAGCUCUUCCAUGGUGUAUUCGGAGGAGGAACCCGCCUUGCAAUGCCGAAGACAAUACUGUGCGCCGGACUCAUCGUCAUUGAAGCCUGGUUCAGGGGCUACUGAGGGAGUCCUGGAUUAGGGGGUCUCCGGACAGCCGGACUGUUAGACUAUGAAGAUAUGAGAUUGAAGACUUCGUUCCGUGUCCGGAUGGAACUCUACUUGGCGUGGAAGGCAAGCUAGGAAAUACGGAUAUGUAUAUCUCCUCCUUUGUGACCGACCUUGUGUAACCCUAGCCCCCUCCGGUGCCUAUAUAAAUCGGAGGGUUUUAGUCUGUAGGACAACAUACAAUCAUACCAUAGGCUAGCUUUUAGGGUUUAGCCUCUCUGAUCUCAUGGUAGAUCGACUCUUGUAAUACUCAUAUCAUCAAGAACAAUCAAGCAGGACAUAGGGUAUUACCUCCAUCAAGAGGGCCCGAACCUGGGUAAACAUCAUGUCCCCUGCCUCCUGUUACCAUCUGCCUUAGACACACAGUUCGGGACCCCCUACCCGAGAUCCGCUGGUUUAGACACUGACAAUCAGCGUCAGUCUUCUUCUUGAAGAUCCAUUUAUUCUUGAUGGCUUUCCGAUCAACGGGCAAGUCAACCAAAGUCCACACUUUGUUCUCAUACAUGGAUCCCAUCUCAGAUUUCAUUGCUUCAAGCCAUUUUGUGGAAUCUGGGCUCACCAUCGCUUCUUCAAAGUUCGUAGGUUCGUCAUGGUCUAGCAACAUAACCUCCAGAACAGGAUUACCGUACCACUAUGGUGCAAAUAUCACUCUGGUUGACCUACGAGGUUCAGUAACAACUUGAUCUGAAGUUUUAUGAUCAUCAUCAUUAACUCCCUCACUAAUUGGUGUAUGGUGUCACAGGAACCGGUUUCUGUGAUGAACUACUUUCCAAUAAGGGAGCAGGUACAGUUACCUCAUCAAGUUCUACUUUCCUCCCACUCACUUCUUUCGAGAGAAACUCCUUCUCUAGAAAGAUUCCAAAUUUAGCAACAAAAGUCUUGCCUUCGGAUCUGUGAUAGAAGGUGUACCCAACAGUCUCUUUUGGGUAUCCUAUGAAGACACAUUUCUCCAAUUUGGGUUCGAGCUUAUCAGGUUGAACCUUUUUCACAUAAGCAUCGCAGCACCAAACUUUAAGAAACGACAACUUUGGUUUCUUGCCAAACCAUAGUUCAUAAGGCGUCGUCUCAACGGAUUUUGAUGGUGCCCUAUUUAACGUGAAUGCAACUGUCUCUAGAGCAUAACCCCAAAAUGAUAGCAGUAAAUCAGUAAGAGACAUCAUAGAUCGCACCAUAUCUAGUAAAGUACGAUUGCGACGUUCAGACACACCAUUACGCCGCGGUGUUCCGGGUGGCAUGAGUUGCGAAACUAUUCCGCAUUGUUUCAAAUGAAGACCAAACUUGUAACUCAAAUAUUCUCCUCCACGAUCAGAUCGUAGAAACUUUAUUUUCUUGUUACGAUGAUUUUCAACUUCACUCUGAAAUUCUUUGAACUUUUCAAAUGUUUCAGACUUAUGUUUCAUUAAGUAGAUAUACCCAUAUCAGCUUAAAUCAUCUGUGAAGGUGAGAAAAUAACUAUAUCCGCCACGAGCCUCAAUAUUCAUCGGACCACACAUAUCUGUAUGUAUGAUUUCCAACAAAUCUGUUGCUCGCUCCAUAGUUCCGGAGAACGGCGUUUUAGUCAUCUUGCCCAUGAGGCACGGUUCACAAGUACCAAGUGAUUCAUAAUCAAGUGGUUCCAAAAGUCCAUCAGUAUGGAUUUUCUUCAUGCACUUUAUAUCGAUAUGACCUAAACGGCAGUGCCACAAAUAAGUUGCACUAUCAUUAUCAACUCUGCAUCUUUUGGCUUCAAUAUUAUGAAUAUGUGUAUCACUACUAUCGAGAUUCAAUAGAAAUAGACCACUCUUCAAGGGUGCAUGACCAUAAAAGAUAUUACUCAUAUAAAUAGAACAACCAUUAUUCUCCGAUUUAAAUGAAUAACCGCCUCGCAUCAAACAAGAUCCAGAUAUAAUGUUCAUGCUCAACGCUGGCACCAAAUAACAAUUAUUCAGGUCUAAAACUAAUCCCAAAGGUAGAUGUAGAGGUAGCGUGUCGACUGCGAUCACAUCGAGUUUGGAACCAUUUCCCACGUGCAUCAUCACCUCGUCCUUAGCCAAUCUUCCCUUAAUCUGUAGCCCCUGUUUCGAGUUGCAAAUAUUAGCAACAGAACCAAUAUCAAAUACCCACGUGCUACUGCGAGCAUUAGUAAGGUACACAUCAAUAACAUGUAUAUCACAUAUACCUUUGUUCACCUUGCCAUCCUUCUUAUCCGCCAAAUACUUGGGGCAGUUCCGCUUCUAGUGACCAGUCUGCUUGCAGUAGAAGCACUGAGUCUCAGGCUUAGGUCCAUGAUACGUCCAUUUUGCAUCAUGCUUUUAUAUCGAUAUUUAUUGCAUUAUGGGCUGUUAUUUCACUUUAUGUCACAAUACUUAUGGCUAUUCUCUCUUAUUUUACAAGGUUUACAUGAAGAGGGAGAAUGCCGGCAGCUGGAAUUCUGGGCUGGAAAAGGAGCAAAUAUUAGAGACCUAUUCUGUGCAACUCUAAAAGUCCGAAAACUCCACGAAACAUCUUAAAAUAAAUAAAGAAAAAUCCUCGCCGAAGAUGAAGGCCAGGGGGCCCACACCCUGCUCACGGGGGUGGGGGGCGCGCUCCCCCUCCUAGGGCGCGCCCCCUACCUCGUGGGCCCCCUGGUGGCUCUCUGAUGUCCAUCUUCACCUAUAUGAAGUCUUUCGAUGAGAAAAAAAAUAAGAAGCAACCUUUCGGGACGAGACUCCGCCGCCACGAGGUGGAACCUUGGUGGAACCAAUCUAGAGCUCCGGCAGAGCUGUUCUGCCGGGGAUACUUCCCUCCGGGAGGGGGAAAUCAUCACCAUCGUCAUCACGAACGCUCCUCUCAUUGGGAGAGGGCAAUCUCCAUCAACAUCUUCACCAGCACCAUCUCAUCUCCAAACUCUAGUUCAUCUCUUGUAUCCAAUUCUUGUCUCAAAGCCCGGGAUUGGUGCUAGUAGGUUGCUAGUAGUGUUGAUUACUCCUUGUAGUUGAUGCUAGUUGGUUUAUUUGGUGGAAGAUCAUAUGUUCAGAUCCUAUAUGCAUAUUAUUACCCCUCUGAUUAUGAACAUGAAUAUGCUUUGUGAGUAAUUACGUUUGUUCCUGAGGACAUGUGAAUUUGGUAUUCGUUUGAUAUUUUGAUAAGAUGUAUGUUGUCUAGCCUUUAGUGGUGUUAUGUGAACAUCGACUACAUAACACUUCACCAUUAUUUGGGCUUAGAGGAAGGCAUUGGGAAAUAAUAAGUAGAUGAUGGGUUGCUAGAGUGACAGAAGCUUAAACCCUAGUUUAUGUGUUGCUUCGUAAGGGGCUGAUUUGGAUCCACAUGUUUCAUGCUAUGGUUAGGUUUACCUCAAUACUUUUGUUGUAGUUGCGGAUGCUUGCAAUAGAGGUUAAUCAUAAGUGGGAUGCCUAUUCAAGUAAGAACAUCACCCAAGCACCAGUCCACCCACAUAUCAAAUUAUCAAAGUACUGAACGCGAAUCAUAUGAACGUGAUGAAAACUAGCUUGACAAUAUUCCCAUGUGUCCUCAGGAGCGCUUUUCCUAUUAUAAGAGUUUGUUCCGGCUUGUCCUUUGCUACAAAAAGGAUUGGGCCACCUUGCUGCACUUUAUUUACUUUUGUUACUUGUUGCUCGUUACAAUUUAUCUUGUCACAAAUCUAUCUGUUACCACUUUUUUCAGUACUUGCAGAGAAUACCUUACUGAAAACCGCUUAUCAUUUCCUUCUGCUCCUCGUUGGGUUCGACACUCUUACUUAUCAAAAGGACUACGAUAGAUCCCCUAUACUUGUGGGUCAUCAAGACUCUUUUCUGGCGCCGUUGCCGCGGAGUGUAGCGCCUUUGAUAGGUGGAAUUUGGUAAGGAAAUAUUUAUAUAGUGUGCUGAAAUUUACUGUCACUUGUUACUAUGGAAAGUAAUUCUCUGAGGGGAUUGUUCGGGGUAUCUUCACCCCGUCCAGUAGAGAAAAGAGUUGCUCCUCAACCUACUAAACCUAUUGAAAAUGAAACUCCUUUUGAAUUCCCUUCGGGUAUGAUGGAAAAACUGCUAGCUAACCCUUUUACAGGAGAUGGAACAAAGCAUCCUGAUGAGCACUUAAUAUAUGUGGAUGAAGUUUGUGGAUUUUUUAAGCUUGCAGGUAUACCCGAUGAUGUUGCUAAGAAGAAGGUCUUCCCUUUAUCUUUGAUGGAGACGCAUUGAUAUGGUAUAGGCUAUGUGAUGAUAUGAGAUCAUGGAACUAUAAAAGAUUGAAGUUGGAAUUUCAUCAAAAGUAUAACCCUAUACAUCUUGUUCAUCGUGAUCGCAAUUAUAUAUAUGAUUUCUGGCCUCGCGAAGCAGAAAGCAUCGCUCAAGCUUGGGGGAGGCUUAAAUCAAUGUUAUAUUCAUGCCCCAAUCAUGAGCUCUCGAGAGAAAUAAUUAUGCAAAGUUUUUAUACUCGGCUUUCUGAAAACAAUCACACCAUGCUCGAUACUUAUUGUGCUGGCUCUUUUAUGAUGAAGACUAUUGAAUUUAAAUGGAAUUUAUUGGAUAGAAUUAAAUGCAACUCUGAAGAUUGGGACCUCGACGAAGGUAAGGAGUCAGGUAUGACACCUAAGUUUGAUUGUGUUAAAUCUUUUAUGGACACCGAUAUUUUCCGUAAGUUUAGCACUAAAUAUGGACUUGACUCUGAGAUAGUAGCUUCUUUCUGUGAAUCUUUUGCUACUUAUGUUGAUCUCCCUAAGGAGAAGUGGUUUAAAUAUCAUCCUCCUAUAGAAGUAAAAGUAGUUGCACCUAUUAAAGUUGAAGAAAAGGCUGUCACUUAUAAUGAUCCUAUUGUUCCUACUUCUUAUAUUGAGAAACCACCUUUCCCUGUUAGAGUAAAGGAUCAUGCUAAAGCUUCAACUGUUGUUCGUAAAAGCAAUAUUAGAAUUUAUACACCUCCUGAGCAAGUUAAAGUAGAACACAAUAUUGCUAUUGUUAAAGAUCUCUUAUCUGAUAAUAUUGAUGGGCACAUUAUUCAGUUCGAUGGUGAAACUGCUAGAAUUGCUAAGCCUUGUGAUAAAGAUAAACAUAGACAUGUGGUAGGUGUGCCUGUUAUUUCUAUUAAAAUAGGAGAUCAUUGUUAUCAUGGCUUAUGUGAUAUGGGUGCUAGUGCUAGUGUUAUACCUUAUGACUUGUAUAAAGAAAUCAAGCAUGAAAUUGCACCUGCUGAAUAGAAGAUAUUGAUGUCACAAUUAAACUUUCCAAUAGAGAUACUAUUUCAGCGAUGGGAAUUGUUACAGAUGUUGAAGUCUUGUGUGGGAAAACUAAAUAUCCUGCUGAUUUUAUUAUUCUUACUUCUCCGCAAGAUAGCUUUUGUCCCAUUAUAUUUGGUAGACCGUUCUUGAACACUGUUAAUGCUCGGAUAGAUUGCGAAAAGAAUGUUGUUACUAUUGGCUUGGAUGAUAUGGUUCAUGAGUUUAAUUUCUCUAAAUUUAGUAAACAACAUCGUGAGGAAGAAUUACCUAGUAAGGAUGAAAUUAUUGGUCUUGCUUCUAUUGCCGUACCUCCUAGUGAUCCUUUAGAACACUAUUUGCUAGACCAUGAAAAUGAUAUGUUCAUGAAUGAAAGAAGGGAAAUGGAUGAAGUAUUCUUUAAACAGGAACCUAUUCUGCAACACAAUUUGCCUGUUGAAAUUUUAGGGGAUCCUCCUCCACCCAAGGGUGAUCCCGUGUUUGAGCUUAAACUGUUGCCUGAUAAUCUUAAAUAUGCUUAUCUUGAUGAAAAGAAGAUAUAUCCUGUUAUUAUUAGUGCUAACCUUUCAGAGCAUGAAGAAGAAAGAUUGUUGAAAACUCUAAAGAAGCACCGUGCUGCUAUUCGAUAUACUCUUGAUGAUCUUAAGGGUAUUAGUCCCACUCUAUGUAAACAUAAAUAAAUUUGGAGGCGUACGCCAAAGCAGUUCGUGAUCCUCAACGACGUCUGAAUCCUAAAAUGAAAGAAGUGGUAAGAAAAGAAAUACUCAAGCUUCUGGAGGCAGGUAUAAUCUAUCCCGUUGCUGAUAGUCAGUGGGUAAGUCCUGUCCAUUGUGUCCCUAAGAAGGGAGGUAUUACUGUUGUUCCUAAUGAUAGGGAUGAAUUGAUUCCACAAAGAAUUAUCACAUGUUAUAGGAUGGUAAUUGAUUUCCGCAAGUUAAAUAAGGCUACUGAGAAAGAUCAUUACCCCUUACCUUUUAUUGAUCAAAUGCUAGAAACAUUAUGCAAAUAUACACAUUACUGCUUUCUAGAUGGUUAUUCUGGUUUUUCUCAAAUACCUGUGUCGGCUAGAGAUCAAUCAAAGACUACUUUUACAUGCCCUUUUGGUACUUUUGCUUAUAGGCGUAUGCCUUUUGGUUUAUGUAAUGCACCUGCUACCUUUCAAAGAUGCAUGAUGGCUAUAUUCUCUGACUUUUGUGAAAAGAUUUGUGAGAUUUUCAUGGACGACUUUUCCGUCUAUGGUUUCUCUUUUGAUAUUUUGAUAAGAUGUAUGUUGUCUAGCCUUUAGUGGUGUUAUGUGAACGUCGACUACAUAACACUUCACCAUUAUUUGGGCCUAGAGGAAGGCAUUGGGAAAUAAUAAGUAGAUGAUGGGUUGCUAGAGUGACACAAGCUUAAACUCUAGUUUAUGCGUUGCUUCGUAAGGGGCUGAUUUGGAUCCACAUGUUUCAUGCUAUGGUUAGGUUUACCUUAAUACUUUUUUUGUAGUUGCGGAUGCUUGCAAUAGAGGUUAAUCAUAAGUGGGAUGCUUGUUCAAGUAAGAACAUCACCCAAGCACCGGUCCACCCACAUAUCAAAUUAUCAAAGUACCGAACGCAAAUCAUAUGAACGUGAUGAAAACUAGCUCGAUGAUAUUCCCAUGUGUCCUCGGGGGCGCUUUUCCUAUUAUAAGAGUUUGUUCCGGCUUGUCCUUUGCUACAAAAAGGAUUGGGCCACCUUGCUGCACUUUAUUUACUUUUGUUACUUGUUACUCGUUACAAUUUAUCUUGUCACAAAUCUAUCUGUUACCACUUAUUUCAGUACUUGCAGAGAAUACCUUGCUAAAAACCGCUUAUCAUUUCCUUCUGCUCCUCAUUGGGUUCGACACUCUUACAUAUCGAAAGGACUACGAUAGAUCCCCUAUACUUGUGGGUCAUCAGUCCAGACUUGGGUUUCUUCUCUUGAGCAGCAACUUGUUUGCCAUUCUUCUUGAAGUUUCCCUUCUUCUUUCCUUUGCCUUUUUUCUUGAAACUGGUGGUCUUAUUGACCAUCAACACUUGAUGCUCCUUCUUGAUUUCUACCUCCGCAGCCUUUAGCAUUCCGAAGAGCUCGGGAAUCGUCUUAUCCAUCCCUUGCAUGUUAUAGUUCAUCAUGAAGCUCUUGUAGCUUGGUGGCAGUGAUUGAAGAGUUCUGUCAAUGACGCUAUCAUCCGGAAGAUUAAGUUCAAGUUGAAUCAAGUGAUUGGAGUACCCAGACAUUCUGAGUAUAUGCUCACUGACAGAACUAUUCUCCUCCAUCUUGCAGCUAUAGAACUUAUUGGAGACUUCAUAUCUCUCAAUCCGGGCAUUUUCUUGAAAUAUUAACUUCAACUCCUGAAACGUCUCAUAUGCCCCAUGACGUUCAAAAUGUCGUUAAAGUCCCGGUUCUAAGCCGUAAAGCAUGGCACACUGAACUAUCGAGUAGUCAUCAACACAUGACUGCCAGACAUUCACAAUGUUUGCAGUUGCUGGCGCAGGUGGUACACUUAGCAGUGCUUCCAGGACGUAAUUCUUCUGUGCAGCAAUGAGGAAUCCUCAAGUUACAUACCCAGUCCGUGUAAUUACUACCAUCAUAUUUCAACUUUGCUUUCUCAAGGAACGCAUUAAAAUUUAACGGAACAACAACACGAGCCAUCUAUCUACAAUCAACAUAGACAAGCAAGAAACUAUCAGAUACUAAGUUCAUGAUAAAUUUAAGUUCAAUUAAUCAUAUUACUUAAGAACUCCCACUUAUAUAGACAUCCCUCUAAUCUUCUAAGUGAUCAUGUGAUCCAUAUCAACUAAACCAUGUCCGAUCAUCACGUGAGAUGGAGUAGUUUCAAUGGUGAACAUCACUAUGUUGAUCAUAUCUACUAUAUGAUUCAUGCUCGACCUUUCGGUCUCCGUGUUCUGAGGCCAUAUCUGUUAUAUGCUAGGCUCGUCAAGUUUAACCUGAGUAUUCCGCGUGUGCAACUGUUUUGCACCCGUUGUAUUUGAACGUAGAGCCUAUCACAUCCGAUCAUCACGUGGUGUCUCAGCACGAAUAACUUUCGCAACGGUGCAUACUCAGGGAGAACACUUAUAUCUUGAUAAUUUAGUGAGAGAUCAUCUUAUAAUGCUACCGUCAAUCAAAGCAAGAUAAGAUGCAUAAAAGAUAAACAUCACAUGCAAUCAAUAUAAGUGAUAUGAUAUGGCCAUCAUCUUCUUGUGCUUGUGAUCUCCAUCUCCGAAGCACCGUCAUGAUCACCAUCGUCACCGGCGCGAUACCUUGAUCUUCAUCGUAGCAUCGUUGUCGUCUCGCCAACUUAUGCUUCUACGACUAUCGCUACUGCUUAGUGAUAAAGUAAAGCAUUACAGGGCGUUUGCAUUGCAUAUAAUAAAGCGACAACCAUAUGGCUCCUUCGAGUUGCCGAUAACUCGGUUACAAAACAUGAUCAUCUCAUACAAUAAAAUAUAGCAUCAUGCCUUGACCAUAUCACAUCACUUCAUGCCCUGCAAAAACAAGUUAGACGUCCUCUACUUUGUUGUUGCAAGUUUUACGUGGCUGCUACGGGCUGAGUAAGAACCGUUCUUACCUACGCAUCAAAACCACGAUAGUUCGUCAAGUUAGUGCUGUUUUAACCUUCUCAAGGACCGGGCGUAGCCACACUCGGUUCAACUAAAGUUGGAGAAACUAACACCCGCCAGCCAUGUGCAAAGCACAUCGGUAGAACCAAACAAUACCACCACCAUGAUCAUGUGUGUGCGUAGGAAAAUUUUGAAAUUGCUAUGUUCCCCAACAGUGGCAUCCGAGCCAGGUUUUAUGCGUAGAUGUUAUAUGCACGAGUAGAACACAAGUGAGUUUUAUCCGUAUGUCGGUCCGGGCCUCUUCAUCCAACAAUACCACCGAACCAAAGUAUGACAUGCUGGUAAGCAGUAUGACUUGUAUCGCCCACAACUCACUUGUGUUCUACUCGUGCAUAUAACAUCUACACAUAAAACCUGGCUCGGAUGCCACUGUUGGGGAACGUAGUAAUUUUAAAAUUUUCCUAUGCACACACAUGAUCAUGGUGAUGCAUAGCAACGAGAGGGAAGAGUGUUGUCUACGUACCCUCAUAGACCGUAAGCGGAAGCGUUUAUCAACGCGGUUGAUGUAGUCAUACACCUUCACGAUUCGUCCUGAUCAAGUACCGAACGUACGGCACCUCUGCGUUCAGCACACGUUCAGCUCGAUGACGUCCUCGCCUUCUCGAUCCAGCAAGAGGGGUGAAGUAAUAGAUGAGUUCCGGUAGCACGACGGCGUGGUGACGGUGUUGGUGAAGAACAAUCUCUGCAAGGCUUCGCCUAAGCACUACGAGAUGACAGAGGAUAAACUAGAGGGGACGGGGUAGCUGGCACACGGCUUGGUGUUUCUUGAUAUGUCUUGAGUGCUAGCCCUACCCCUCUAUUUAUAUGUUGAGCCUUGGGGUCGAAACUUGGAGUAAAAUCCUCCACAAAGUCGGUUUCACCCGAAAGGCAAGAGUCCUUCUCAGACUCUAGGGCCAGACGCCAGGGUUCCCGGUGUCUGGCCCCAGACGCCAGGGACCCUGGCGUCUGGCCCCUGGACUUUGCAAAACUUCCUUUUGCGCUUUCCAAAAACCUUGUGGGCUUUCCCCUUUGGCCCAAAUAAAGUGUUCUCGUACCCAAACAUUUCGGGAAACAUCCGGAACCCCUUCCGGUGAAUUCCGGAACCCUUUCGAUGACCAAACACUAUUAUCCCAUAUAUCAAACUUUAUCUCUGGACCAUUCCGGAGUUCCUCGUCAUGUCCGUGAUCUCAUCCCGGACUCCGAACAACAUUCGGUCACUAAUAUACAUAACUCAUAUAGUACUAUAUCGUCAACGAACGUUAAGCGUGCGGACCCUACGGGUUCGAGAACUAUGUAGACAUGAUCAGGACACCUCUCUGGUCAAUAACCAAUAGCGGAACCUGGAUGCCCAUAUUGGCUCCUACAUAUUCUACGAAGAUCUUUAUCGGUCGGACCGCAUAACAACAUACGUUGUUCCCUUUGUCAUCGGUAUGUUACUUGCCCGAGAUUCGAUCGUCGGUAUCUCAAUACCUAGUUCAAUCUCGUUACCGGCAAGUCUCUUUACUCAUUCCGUAACACAUCAUCCCGCAACCAACUCAUUAGUUGCAAUGCUGUCAAGGCUUAAGUGAUGUGUAUUACCGAGUGGGCCCAGAGAUACCUCUCCGACAAUCGGAGUGACAAAUCCUAAUCUCGAAAUACGCCAACCCAACAAGUACCUUCGGAGACACCUGUAGAGCACCUUUAUAAUCACACAGUUAUGUUGUGACGUUUGGUAGCACACAAAGUGUUCCUCCGGUAAACGGGAGUUGCAUAAUCUCAUAGUCAUAGGAACAUGUAUAAGUCAUGAAGAAAGCAAUAGCAACAAACUAAACGAUCAAGUGCUAAGCUAACGAAAUGGGUCAAGUCAAUCACAUCAUUCUCCUAAUGAUGUGACCUCGUUAAUCAAAUGACAACUCUUUGUCUAUGGUCAGGAAACACAACCAUCUUUGAUCAACGAGUUAGUCAAGUAGAGGCAUACUAGUGACAUUCUGUUUGUCUAUGUAUUCACACAUAUAUCAUGUUUCCGGUUAAUACAAUUCUAGCAUGAAUAACAAACAUUUAUCAUGAUAUAAGGAAAUAAAUAAUAACUUUAUUAUUGCCUCUAGGGCAUAUUUCCUUCAAAAAGACCAGACGUUGUACACAUAUAAAAAGUUUCAUGAAGGAAUACUUUCCAACAUGACGGAAAAAAAAUCACCACUAUAUACAAGUUACUGUUCAUUAGGUUUCUACUAGGAUUUUAUUUUUGUCUGAGGACAACAGAAGUUUAUUACCGCGCUUAACUUUUUAUACGGAUACCAAAAUAGGUCAACUUUGUUUCAAAAAUAAUUUCAGGAUUUUUUUUUUACUUUUUCUAUAAUUAAUAAGUUAAUUUUUCCUUAUCAGGCGCACUUUAUAUAUACUGUCCAAAAGCUUUUUGGACGAUGGAUUUUUCUCUGAUUUCAAUAAUGCCAGCUAUCGUCUCUAACUUGAUGUAUUAUAUUUACAGCUGAGACAAAUGUAAACGACAAAAUGGUGGAGCCAUUAAGAGUUUACUCAGAUAAAGAAUUGCUCUAUCGAUGUUACAAGACUAGCGAGUUGAACUUUCAUAUUUUUUGGUUAUUUGGCCUCUCAAAGAAUCUUUGUUGAAAAGAGCCUCCUCGGCCCUGGGGGGUGAUGAGAAAAGGAAGCCGCUAAGAAAGGGUUGAUUAUGCCACACAUGCAUAUAAUGGCUUCCCCUCUAUUGUUUUUGGAAAGAUAGUGAUGAGAAAGGGUGAAUUUGUGCGCUUUUUGAUAAUUUUGUUGGUUUGUUAGUGUGAGAAAGUAUCACAUAGUUAGGAUACUUGUGGAGGCCAUGGCUGGUACAUAUGAUCUAAAGUUUACCACAUCCCGACCUUACUAUUGGAGAUGUACCUGAUGUAUACGAAAAUGUAGACUUAUGUGAGGAUUGGAGAUGGAAAGUGAGGGGGAUCUUUUUUUAUCUUCUCUAAUGGAUACAUAAAUUUGUACACUGAAUCAAGCAUGUGCGCGCGAGGGGGAGAAGAGGAGAGAGACAUUGACAUUUUUAAUGCUUUGAACAAACAUUUUCUAUUCGUAGCUUUCUUUUUUUGUGGCAGCGCGUGAGUGUGGCGCCUCGUGAUAGAGCCCCGGAUGAAGGGUGGGCCCAGUACAGAACCAGGAGGUACUUGCACUAAGAUAGAAAGACGGUUGCCACCCUUGUCCCUUGUUGUUGUCAUGCAACGGCGGUGUCGAUCACUAGCUCACUUAGAACACGAGUUUGUGGAUUUUGUUAUGAGAGUGACGGUUGAGAGUGUGCAGGAUGGGGGUUGAGGUUGCCUGUUCAGUUGCUGCUGUUUGAGCGGAAUAAAUUUUCUACUUUAGGAAAUGUAGCAAAUUGCAUUUCAUUAGAGACAAUGGUUAGUUCGUUGCUUCAAGAGUUUUUUUUGCGGUUUGGUUACUUCAAGAGUUAAUAACGGAAACAUGGUGUAUCACUUGCAUGCCCAACAAUGGACAUUAUAUUUUUGUUUCUUGGUAAUGCACGACAUUUAAAUGUAUGUUACAACGUGCAAUGGCUCAGGAGACAUUGCAUCUUCCUUCUUGGCUCGAGGACGUUAUGGUCGGUGCGUAGCUCGUCCCCCUUGACAGCGAUGGUGGAUCAAUGUGAACAUUGGAGGGGAUCAGGGCGGUUGGUGGGGGACUCCUCCUUGGCGGUCCGUGGGGAAGUAUGGUCUGAAGGAUAGAGGGCGCCAUGGCGAAGGUGAGGUGGACAUCAUCUGGUUUUAAAGGAGAGGGUCCCAACAAGAAAUGUACCAUUAUGGUGGACAAUCGAGUGGAAGGGGAGGGCCCAGCAGAAAAAGAGAGGGGUGCGUCAUGGGGUGGGGUUUUUGUGGGACUACAUAUUGGAGAUAACACGACGGAUAGUAUGGACAACCACAUUUCUUCCUCACAUAUGAAAAAGAUUUGAGAGAGUUUGGACUGUCCAGAUGGUUAGAUUUUGGCCAUGCGCCCGUUCGAUGUCGGGACAUGUCCGGACGUAUGAGAAAGAAAUGAGCUUUGACCUUCCAGACAACCUUAAUCAUUUGUUUGAAUCGUUUAUAUGGACUGUAGCCCAUUGCAACACACGGGCAUUCUACUAGUUAUCAUUAGGGUACCAGAAUGUAGAAACAAGAAAAGAGAACAAACCAGGUAACGAGGAUAGCGAUAAAAGUCUCGCGUCGGGUUUUGUGACGUAUCGCGUAGAAAAGAGAUUUGUAUGUGGUAACCUAAAAAAGUUCGCUCGAUAAAGAUCAUUGUGAAUAUGUGGGAAUUAUCAAGGGUGUCCAGUUCCCCAAUUAAUUAUUCACUAGAGGAUACUUUGAAGGAGUAAUUUACUUCAACACUAGAUCAGCGAUCAUCCAGACAAAUUGUUGCGGUUGGGAGGUUUAGCCUAGAUCCCGAAAAUCUCGCUCUUCAUCAACAAUCUACUUUGCUCCCGCUACAUUUUAUUAGUGACACUAAUCAUUAUCCGCAUCUUCAUAAUGAUCUGGGGCUUGUUCAUGCUAGGUAAUUUUGAUUGUGUAGCACGUUCCCUACAAAACUUGCUUCAAAUACUGGGAAAUCAUCUCACUGGAUCUCCUAAUUAAAUGUGAUAUGAAUCACUCUGAACCUCUAAUUAUGACCUACAACAUGAAGGAACAUUGCUACUUGCUCCAUAACAAAGGCGUGGAUGCUAUCUUUUAGCCACCCCUCCCCCUAAACGUGUCCACAAACUUGGGAAAGGGUCUGUUCUCAUUAGAAGCAUGUUUAAAGUCUCUACAUCCUUAUGGUUGUAAAUGUAGUUCAGAUUCUCCAUCCCUUCCCCAUCUUAGGCUAACACUGGACCAUAUCUGAUCACUGACUUAGAAUUGCGACAAACCGUUCUUUUGUGGACCAACAUGACUCAUGCAUGAAUCACAACAACAAAUGUUGAUGCUUGAAAGAGCAACAUCAUACAUUCGUCCUAAAAUUGAUGUUGCAGUAAGUAACGGCGAAAUUAAACCUACAUCUUAUAUAACGACCUAACAGUUGAGGGUGGUUGCAUGGUGCUUACCGCCAUUGGAUACUAGACAACCGCCUGCCCAUGCCGAAGUCGAAGUGGACGAGGCGGAGAUGGAGACGAGGAGCAUGUCCUGGUGCUGGCACAUCAGAUCUAAGUCGUCAAUAUUGCUGUCGCUGCCGGUACAACAUAUCUAAGUUGUCGGCGCCGUUGCCGAGAACUGAUGCUCGAUUUGUCAUGCAACUGGAGGUAAGCGAGUAAGGGGCCGAGAGGGCAAGACUGAUUUCAUGCCAUUUCGUACUUGCAGAUUUUCGUCUCUGCCAUCUCCAUGCCUACACCCGCACGUGCGCAUUCCCAUGGCCCCUUUGCGCUUGUCUCAUACUGACUAUAUGAAAACGACCGAUUGGAGGAUUCCUAGCAAGCCGAGCUCUUGAGUGCUUUAAGUUCCGCAUGCAUGUAGCCCAUCGCCUCAUGUGGGCAACAAAAUGGGCUUUAUAUUCAUCCACUGGACCUAUUUGGGGAAGAGAGCUUGUACAACAUAUCCAAAUCGUCGUUGCCGAGAACUGAUGAUCGAUUUGUUUUACCGCUGGAGGUGAGCGAGUAAGGGGGCGGGAGGGCGAGAUUGAUUUCAUGCCAUUCUGCGCUUGCAGAUUUUCAUCUUUGCCAUCUCCAUGCCUACACCCGCACGUGCGGCGUUCCCAUGGCCCCUGUGUGCUUGUGUCAUCCUAACUACAUAAAAACAACCAAUUGGAGAAUUCCUAGCAAGCCAGGCUCUUGACUUUAAAUUAUGCAGGUGUGUAGCCCAUCGCCUCAUGUGGGCAAUAAAAUAUGCUUUAUUUUCAUUCACUGGACCUAGUUAGGGAAGAGAUCUUCGGUCAAUCAGACUCGCAUAAUGUAUGUAGCCUUUUUGCUGGUAAAACAAUUGGACCGGAGACAUCAUACAUCAUUUCAGGCUUUGGCAGGGAUAGUUUGAACAACUUUUUUUUGCGGGGAGAUAGUUUGAACAACUUAGACGUUACGAUUUCUUUUGUCUUAUACUUUGGCAAAAGCUUUUGCUCUGCCUUUUCUAAAAAGUUUAUUUAAUAAAAAAUGUAUAUAAAAUUUAGGAAAGAGUGCAGUUUUUUUUUCGAAAUCGAGGCAAAAGAUUUGCCUCAUUCAUUAAAUAAGAAAAAGUUUAGGAAAAAGUGCAGUUGUAGACAUGAGAGAUGGCUACAAGAACAAAACCGCCGGCAAAAUGUUGCUCAGAUGCUUGCUUCCCGUCGUGCCCCAUGCAUACGACUUGGUUCCUCGCUCUUGAUGCGCACAACGAUGAUUGCCGGAAGCGUGUGGGUCUGUUGCGCACGGACGACCCUCGCUCAGAGUUUCUCCGAUCCUAGACUUUGCAGGAGAUCGACGUCGGCGAGGAUGGAAGCCAUGGGUUUCCGAGUACCGUUGCCCGUGCCGUUGAAAUGUUGAAUCACCACCUGAUCUUUAUUGUUGCCUCCGUCGUCAAUGAGAUGGCCGGCCCCUGACAAAUCCUUGGCCACGCUUCCAGAUGAGCCACCGAUUCCUGAUCUCGACAUCGACGUAGCCCGAUGCUCAGGCCCGAUGAUCUGUCGCUGACGACGCUUAGACAGACGAAUAAAACUGCACCGCGGGGCCACUUUGCCUUCUGAUAUACACGAAAUGGCCUUAUUCCCCACCGAGUAGGCCCGCCCCAGCGGUAUGUAGUAGCGGAUUUCGGGAAUCAGUAUGUCGACGCACCCUGAGUGGAACGGGAGCGAAUGUAGUACGCACACGACAAACUCAAGCCGUUGGUUGAUGGAUCAAGAUCGAAGCCACCGGUCAACUAAUGCACGGCACGUAUUUCAAUGUGCAAAGCCGCCAUCGCGGCGGGCGCCGUGUGGAAUCUUCGGUUUCAUCCUUUUGUCAACCCUAUCCUAUCUACGGUCGCUAGCUUAGCUUAUCGCAUGCACGUAGUACGUAGCUAGCUAGGUAAGUUGAAUUGUACGUCCGAUCCAUCGUUAUCCAGCCACUAGUGCCAUUGACCAGGCUUGCACAAUACACUCUUCUGUUUUGUUUUGUCUUCGAAGCAGGUCGUUUUUGUUUUGAUUUGAAGCAUUUCACACCCGAGGCAGCUUUGCCACAAGCCGGAGCAGAACGGAUACACAUAUACAAGUCAUAAAAAUGUAUCGUGGCGGAAUACGAAUAUUGUGACGGUUUUCAUAAUCUUUCUUUCUUGACAGUAUGUUUUGUGGGGGAAUAUGAAUAUCUUGACGACGUGGUUUCAAAAAUAUCUAGAUGGUGUAGUACACCCCUCAUGGCUAGAAAAUAUCUAGAUGGUGUAGUACACCCCUCAAAAAUAUCUUGACGACGUGGUUUCAUAAUCUUUCUUUCUAGACUGAACGAGCAAUCAGUGAAGAUGCCCGCACAUCAAUUUUGUAUAUAUUACUAAAAAACGCUUAAUCAACCUUUAUAUGGGUUAUAUUAUCCACGAGUUGAGGUAACAUGGGCAUCUCUUCAAACAGAAUUCUCAUCAACAGUUACUUUUGUGCUAAACAAACAUUAUAUUUAUGAGGAAAAUACACCACUGAUGCUUGAACUUUUCAUGAAUGUGCACUUUGGUAUCUGAACUUGCAAAAUAUAUUAAACUGGUUUCAUAACUUGUCAUGGACGUGCAUAUAUGGUUUAAAUCUUAUUUUUAUACGUCCAUAACACUAACGAGGCACGCUAGCAUGGCAUGGGACUUGUUCUAUGUCAGGAACAAGGCGUGGCGUUUGGGCUUGGUUUUUGAAGAAAACCCCUCGGAAUAAGUAUUUUCUUACAAAAAGGUUUAGAGAGAAACUGAUAUAUUGAAAAAAUCUAUUAAUUAAUAAUAUUUUAAUAGUUAACAGGAAUCCAGGGUUUGAACCAGCGAUGUGAUGUGUGCAACUGUGCGUGGCUAGCUAGUUGACCCAUUAAAAUUUAGUGUCAUGAACGGAUCAUACACUUUAUAAACAUAAAGCUGAACAACAUAAAUUAAUUUCUUUUAUCCCAGCAAUAUAGUGUCAUUGAUUUGAACCUACAACUAGGGGCUAUAUGGCGGCCGCACAUACUGCUCCAACCAACUACGAUGAUUGGUAAAAUGAUAAUUUUAGGUUUUUAACAUAACAAGCCCGUGUGGCUAAAAUGGACCACAGCUUUUUUUAUUUCAAAAGUUUGUAAAAAUAUGUAAAUCAUAAUUGUGUGUAACAAACAAUAUACAUAUAUUUAAAACAAUUUACGUUAAGAGGUUCAUAUAAUUUCAUAAAAUACCUGUGCAAUAAUUUAACAAAAGUACACAUCAUAAAAUUAAGAAUUAAUAAUACAUUUUAUAAUUUUAAAAAAUGCUCGUAUUUUAAUCAAAUAUUAAAGUAAUUUUAGAAAUGUUCAUAUAUUUAAAUAGAUUCCCAUAUAAUUUUAAAAUUUCCAUAUUUUAAUAGAAUAUUCAUGUAGUAUAUAAAUGUAUUCACGCUUUAAGUAAAACAUGUGUUGUUUUAAUAUAAAUGUGUUCAUGCUUACUUUCAGUAAAAACUGUGUUGUUUUAUAAAUUAUAUAUAUAAUAUAUAAAGUUUGUAUGUUUUCUAAAAAAUUACAAGCCUAUGCGCCCUUAGGUUGCGGAUCUUCACAUGAAUAAUACUUGAAUUAUGUAAACAUCUUAUCAUUCAUAAAUAUUUUCAAUUGUAUGAAUAUGUUUUAAAUUAACGCGUGAAUUCAUUUUAAAAUGACAGGAAGAAUUUUGCAUCCUUUUGAAAUUAUGUUUCUUAUACAGUCAUAAAGACUACUUGUACUUUUGAACUUAUUUGGAGUGGCAUCUGUGCCUGGUCUAUAAGUUUUGGCCGGAUGUUCGAGUCACAGAACCAAACCUAUUUUUCCUGGAUGCAAUCGGCUGGCAGGUCGCUGGUUCUAACCACCACAGGACCUGUUUUAGUUUUUAUUUUACAAUUUGUCAGCUUCUUCCUGAGGGCCUUAUGGUAAGAAAAAUAUUGUGGGGGUUUCUGCAAAAAAUCAGGCCACACAUCCUUGUCACUGACAGCGGGUCCCAUGCCAUGUUGGGCGCCUUGUCAGCGUCGCGUACGUAUACAAACGUCAUUUAAACAGUAUAUGCACGUCGAUACCAAGUUAUGAAACUAGUUCAAUGUAUUUUGCAAGUUCAGGCACUAAAGUGCACAUCCGUGGCAAGUUCAAGCAAAUGUAUUUACCUCUAUAUUUAUCAUUCAAGAUCUACUAGCUAUUCAACCAUCAUACAAAAUAGAUUACUACUUGUAUAUUGAGAACACCGACAUUAUCAUGGCCUAGUUAGACAUUACUAUGAAUCUGGAGAUUGGUCGAAGGGUUAAACUAGAUGGAUGCCUGUCGGGGGAGAACCCAACAAUUCAAAGCGUGAUAGUUUCGACCCUCUCUCCUAAUUUAGGUUGCUGGACGUGACGUCAAAUAUCAGGGUAUGGCACAUCGAGAAACAGAUAGUGCGUUGUGUACACACACACAAUUUUUGCCUAGUGAACGUAAGCACGCUGCCAUCAUGAUUAUUAUCGUUGGUGAACUUCUAGUUAAUCAAAUAAUUGAGUUUGAGAAACAUAAAGCAUGUGUCAAUCCUACUUGCCUACCUCUAGUCUAAAGUUCCUAAAGGUCCAAAUAAGCUAGGAUCCCGCUCAAAGACUAGGCAAUGACUUUGAUUGUAUUCAACCAAACAAAAUGUUUGGUAUUGUGCAAAUGAUAAUUAAUCAUUCCCAGUCAGCUGAUUGAGCUAGGAACCAACUGCAACAGCCAAAGGAUGAUGGAGUACUCGCCUCAUAGGCAUUCUCGCUCGUGAGUGGCCCUCUGCGUCGUCCGUUCCUCGGGCGCCUCAAACCGAUGCCUGCCUGGCGCCCUCCCCACUGUGCGAACCUCGCGGGCCCUCUGCACCGCAUCGAUUUCCUCGGGGUCCAUGACGCGUGGGCCACGAGUGCAUGGGGAGUCACCUUUCUUGGUGUUUUUUUGUUGCCGCUACAUGCGCCCCUCAUGUGUUGGUCCGCAUGCGCUGGGUGAGGUCGGGUCGGCAUGUCAGCAUUGUUCGUUUCCCACCGGGCCGCUUGGUUCACGCGAGAGCCAGCCUCUGCAUCAAACAAUCUAGACAACCAAUUUAUUAAACAAAAUAAGUCCAAUUCAUAGAGUACAAAAAAGUUUACAGCAAAACACGAUCAUGCCAGUCGGAAACAAGGUUAAUUAGCUCAUCCACAUAAUCUGCUACUGUCGCGCCAGCCAAAAUUGUUGAACAUGCCCCGUGCAACUAGUUCCAGAUGGUUGCACCCAAAGUUUGUAAGCUUCCGCACAUCCACACGCAUGAGUGAUGACCAUCUACAAAUUGAUGUCAUAGCUCUGAAGAUAACCUGCAUUUCUUUUAAAAUAUAUGUUCUGUUAAAAACGUGCUCAUUUCAGCAAUUUCAUAUUGCCUAGAAAAGGCACAAAUUUUCAUGUGAAUUUCACCCUUCAGAUUACUGCCCUAGGACGUGUAUAGUGGUACUAUCAUUUGAUGCCACGUAGAAUAACUAGAGAGUUGAAAGAGAAAAAUCAACAAAAGAACAUUGUCUUCUCUUAUCUAGAUGAUUUCUAAGGAUGAAAAAUGAAACAUUUAUUCCCUCAACAAGACUACUUAUCUUUUCCCCAUGUUUUCUAGUUUUAAUUCAAAUCCUCCCAUAAUUUAAAAGGCUUGUAACAUUAAAUGUUAGAGAUAAUACUAAGAGAUAAAUUUAUUGUAUAACAUAUUCUUAUUUACUUCUAUAAAUGAUGUGGCAUACAUAAUAAGAUACAUUUUUACUGAUUGAUACAUUAUAAAAUUCUGAUUAUUUUAAUCCAUAAAAUAAAUCAUGGUGACAAUGUUAGCAAUAUUAAUAUCAUACUAAAAACUAGAUAUGUGGGAACGUAAUAAGAACAUAUAAAUCUAUGAUAACAAGAAGCAUGCCUACCACAUGAACCAUUAAAAGUGGGAGGAGCAAAUCAUACCAUCCAGCCGGAAAGGUCAGAGUCACAAUGGCGGUAGCGGAGGCUUCGUCAUCCUUCUUCAUAGCACCGGCCAUGUCACCAUGGAGAUAUCAGGGAGGUCGAGAACGUGUCACCCUUUUCCCGAACCAUGAUCACAAAACGGCGGGCUUUCGGAGGCUUGCUCUCCCCGUACAGCUGGGCGCCCAGACGACAUGAUGAACUUCAGUGGUUUGUUCACGAGGAAGCUAAAUAUAUGCUAUUUGAUCAAUUGAUGUCUAGGGUUGCUAACACCUCCAAUAUGUAGGCGGUCGGGCAGGGAGCCCACGAUCCGAUCCGAACGGUUCAGAUACAAUUGUUCGUAACUUGCCUGUUGAUGAUUUGUAAUUAAUUAUAUGUUCCAGACCGAUAGAAGUAAUGCACACAUAUGACAUAGGUCUGAGCUCGUCUCGCACAAAAUGUGCUCGCGACGCGUGACAGGCUGGCGGGGGAGGAGCAACAACACGCGUGACUACUCAUUUUUCUCAUGCUUCAACAUGACGUGGAUGAGAGACCCUUGUACGUUGGUCUAAACUCUUCUCCACUUUUGGGGUGAUACUAAACUUCCCGCCAUGUCAUGAAACCACACACGGGCCUUCGAAAUUUAUUCAGGAAUUAUUUGGUACAUGGUCCUAAAGCUUAUCUAACAUUCAACAUCAUCAACCACUAUACAUUUUGCAUUUUCACUUCUCAUUGACAACAAACGAGAUUUCAUUUUCACGAUAUUAUUCCUCUUAUUGUUCCCAAUAAAGACUCCUGGGCAUUUGUUGUUCUUUGUUCAAUGUGAAGUUAAUCGCAAAUAGCUUUCCUCCGUGUGUGAGUAAAUCUUGAGAUUGAUGAAGUUACUACUACCAUGUCAUCCUCCACUCAAAUAAUAUAGUUUGAAAUCUUGAAAUAAAUCUAAAAAAAUACGAGCACCAAUGUAGAGUCUAGGACUUGAACUUGCGUGGAUAGAUUCACCACAGGGAAUUUAACCAACUAAGUUAUGCCCAUUUCUCUCUUAUUGUAUAUUAUGUAUAGUACAUGGCUAAACAAUAACAACAAAAUUAAUGCCUCUUGUUUCCCUUUACUUUGUUGUCAUCUUCUUUACUGAGUUGGUUUCUUCUCCUAGGAAGGUUGAGCAAGCUAGUCUUGGUAUAGCAUGUAAUCUCUUGUCUUUUCUCUUGGCUUCACGACCCUUGCUUUUUGGUGACGUUCUUCCUAUUUUUCCUAUGCAGCAGAGAGAAGCCAAUUUCACUUUCUGGUUCUAUUGGCAAUUCACAAUUUUCCUCUUCAACCUCCAAUUUGGAGGCCUGCUUGGCGGUCUCACUGUUGACUUCAGCGGCGAGGCUCGGCCUGGUGAUAGGAGGUCUAUGCCCAUUUUUGGGGAUGUGUUCCGCUUGAUCUCAGUGUGUGCUCCUAUAAGAUCAUCAGUGUUGGCAAGCUCUUCUCAUCUAGGUUCCUCGGGAACUAACAAGAAGCUUAUGUUCCUCAUGUAGGCCCGCUCAGGUAGUGUUGGCCGAUGCUUUGGUUUGCUAGAGGCGAAUCCAAUAUUAGCCAGCUGUAGGGACGCAUGGCGGAUGCCUGUGUAGACGAGAUGCUUCUCGAUGCAACCCGUGGUCACAUCGGCCAGGUCCCUUUGUUUGAUGUCCUCGAGUGCAAGAGCCGCAAACUCGAAGUGGGUAAGAUGUGUGGCAUCGAAGAUGUGUUUGUUGGGCUCCUUCCAUAAAUUCCAGAUCAUGUUCCAUAAGUUCCAUUGAAGAUGGUCGAAUAUUAAACGAAAAGAUAGUGUUCCUACCAGUUCAUUGACAAAAGUGUUGAGCAUUCGAUCUCCUUCAGAAUGGGGAUCCACAUGUUCCUUUUGGUUUUACAUCUAUAUUUCCUUUUUAUCGGGUGACCUAGUGGUUUCACACCCUUAACUGUCAGAUUAAUGAAAUGCAGGGUGAACUCAUUUGUUCCAUCUUACACAUUUGUUUUCGUUCCGUGUAACGUAAACAACGUACAUCCGAAACACAAGAAUAUAUGUGUGUUGGGCAAACUUUAGUUUGUCUUGUUAAUCCACGUGAAACUUUAGUACAUUCUACAGUAUUUUCUAUAUUUGCACCACAUGAGACUCCACUCCAGUUUGUGCUAUGAGUAUAAGUUUUUUUUACGGAGUGUCGGCGUGCCUACUAUAUUGCCAAAUGAUUGUUGCCACAUUUCUCAUCGUGCUUGCCUAGCAUAGCAGUAGUUGUUCCUUUCCGUCUGUAUGGGGUUGUCGUGAUGAUGUUGUAGAAUUUUAACUCUUUGCAGCUUAUCCUUGUGGUCGUGGGAUACACUGGUCGCACGCACAGAGUUUGUUCACGGUUCACCCAGCAUGAAAGACAACAUUAGGCUAUGUGAUGUCUGAGUUACACGUGGUGAUCACUGCUAGCAUAUAAUACUAGAGUGAUGAUAUGUUCAAUGCAUGCAAAACCCUAAAAUGUUUUUAACAAAGAAGGACCGAUAUAGAAGCAGGGAGCACCGUCGUUUUUUCGAAAAAAAGCGGUAGCAGCAGCGGCGAGGGCACCGUUGGGCGGCAGUCCGGCAGUGGCAAGUACACAUGCGCAUCUGGAAGCCAGCAUCAGCCAAGGGGGGUUCAUUCAAGGACAACAUCGUGCAGCACGAUCAUGUAUGUGCAUCUCCUUCCGUUGUCGGUUCCACGCGUCGAGCCUUUUGCGGCCUGCGCUCGCCGUCCCGUCGUAUCACGCACUAUGCAUAUGCGCCCGGCCGGCCGGUGACGCCAACGCCAUGCCGGCCGUACAUGCAUGCGCCAUGUUGUGGCGGGCCAGCGCGGUAGGUAGGCCUACAUGUUCUUCGCCUCGAUCCAUUGACGGGUAGACCGAUCGGGCGCGCGCCCGCGACCGGCCGGCCGGAAUACGCCUACGCCGACCGACCUCUGCAAUUAGGCUGGAUGGAUAGGCACGCAUAACGUCUACGGCUAUUUUACGUGCGACGCUUCGCUUCGGCUACGUCGCGGCGUGUGGCCGGCGAGCGGCGCGAGCAUGUGCGCGGUCGGCCGGCUCCGGCGGCGAGCACUUUGCUUUCGCGGAGCGGUCGCUGUUUCGGGCGUGUUGCGAUGCUGCCGAAAGGAAAAAAGCGACGUAUGGGCGUAUGGCAGGACGGACGGAAUGCUCGCGGGCUGGUGUUUGAUGGCUGGCUCACAUGGCCUGGCACUCUCUUGUGUCGAGUUAGGCCGGAAUGCUGGGAUGCUUCGCGGUUGUUGAUCGAUCGAUCGAUCGGUCGGUCGGUGCGCUGGUUGGUUGGGUUCGUACUACACGUUCAUGGAGACGAGGCACAGGAAUGGGCUGGAAAAAGAUGCCGAGGUUAAAGCGGUCACAAACGGAAUAUGACACAUGUACGGUGCGUUCCUGACGUAGCGAGAAAUGACCAAGACGAUCACUAUCAUAAAGUUCAUCCACAAAUAACCUUUGGCGGAGAACUAACGUUCGACUCUACGGUCUCUUAACGUAGAACAAUUGUCUAC
rnacentral:lncRNA from 1 species